UUCUUUUCUCUUUCUAGAGCUGGUGAGAGAGUGGUCGUUCAAAUCCUGACAAACUAUCGCAAUGUUCCCUUUUAAAGCACCUGAAUCCUGAAAACUCUUUUCUUAAUAUCUUUUGCAAAGACUGACUCACCACAUCAUUUUUUUCUAGACACUCACCUACUGCCCCAUGAAAGACUAGUACCGUUACAUGUGUCGACUCACCUUCUCCCCUCUGAGGUUCGUGACGCCUCUGAGGAGUAGGUAGCAUACCGUUAGGGUUACAAGAAAACCGGGCUCUAAUACUAGUUGUCAAACCCCACCCUAGGAGUCCCAGUCAAACCACUAGUUCAACCGAUGAGUCUUACUCAGUUUUUAACUUGAACCACACUCAACUCUAGGCUACUAAUAAAAACAUUAAGACAAGCAUUAACAGCUUAAACUGAACACUUCAAUAAAAUUGACAAACUAGGAUCCGAAAUCCCAAAACACAACAAAUCAAAAAGAGAUGCAACUCCAGUUUAAAAAUACAUAAAAAUUAUAUCCUCUAAUAUAUAAAAACCAACCAGCUUUCUCCCCUCCAUCAGCUCCAAUACCUGUGACUGAACACAUAGAUAUGCCAAGAAAAACAAGUCUAAUGGGGUUAGUGAUAACCAUUGAGUGGCUAAACUAGGCUCGCAUAAAACUGCAACUAUACUAAGAAAAUAGGGCAAGAAUCAAGUAAUGUGACUCUGCGGUCCUGUAGGGAUCAUCCUAUCAAUAGUCACCCCUAACUAGUAGCUGAUAGCCUCAUGAAGGAUCAUACCAUGAAACCACCCGUUGAUACCGUGUGAGCAGCAUCUGUACGCAUACUCCACACAUCUUGCAUGACCGUAGAAACAUCCUGGGGGAUUUUGCAAUCCAUGGGUGGGUGACCAACACACAUAAGGAGCUAAUCUAGCUAAAUCUGAAUUUUGUCCUAAGCAUGAACUGUGAACCACAGUUCAAAUGUCAUGAGCUUAUGCUCGAACUUAAACAACUACCUGUUCAGUAGAUCACACGCUACUGCACAGUGUAUGAGCCCGACUCUGUUUCAUAACCCAUGUAUAGUAGAUGACACGCUAUUGCACAGUCUUGAGAGCCCGGCUCCGAAACACAACACAUGUACCGUAGAUCACACGCUACUGUACAGUCCUGAGAAUCCGAUCAUCGCAUUCCUGACAAUCCUAAUUACAGUUAUAUGCUUAAGUCAAAAAGUAAUCCUAACCCUCACCUAUUAAGAAGGGAUGGCAUUUCUGAUUCUCACUUGACAUGAUUCCUCUCACUGCCACUAAUCUAUAGCUUCUGACCGUGCAUCAUUUGGAGUUUAACCAAUUGAGUUAUACUCCAUUUACUUGUAGCAAUCUGAAACUUGCUAGGACAGAAACGUGGCGCUAAUCCUCCAACUGCCUCCAUUACACUAACUGAUCCAAAACUUCUACUCAUUGACAAAACUAACCCAAGUCCUUAACUAUAAAACAUCCAAAAGUUCAAAGUUGCUAAAGGUCCUCAACGCGUCCUACACACCACCAAAGCCGUUGCACCCUUGCCGAACGCGGAUGGCGCCACCGCUACUGCUAUUCCUAAAGCUCCGCCUUGAAUCUCCUCAAUCUCCUCCGAAAUAGUGAUCGGCACCGCCACAACUCCAUCCUCGUUUGCCCUCGAUCGAUGGAAUUCAAAAUCCUCACCUCUUGGCGUCAAAACUAAUGGCAACAAGUAACUUACCCUGCUCAUCGUCUCAGUGCAUCACCAGUUAGAUCAUGGAAGGGAAGUUAAACCAUUCUCCCACUUGAUGGUAAUGGGGCCCAACUCCACAAUCUGAUCCAUCAUACGGCCCAAGGCCCACCUCAACUUUAAUUGGACUCAAGGCCAUAAUUUAAGCCUAGGGUGGCAGUCCUCACCCUUCACUUGAAUGGUUCAAGUCCUAUCCAGAGCUAUAAAAUCAAUCUAACGGUCUAGAAAUCUUCGAGUUCAUAACUAACAAUUCACAGGCUUAACCCCUCUUCUGAUGGACUUAGUCAACCCAAUAACUAUCUCGAGCCUUACAAAUCUUUAAUACUUGGUCAAUUGCUGAGUCAACUCAUCAAAUUAAUUAAAUUAAUUCAUUUUUCAACUUCCGACUUCUACUCAACGAGUAAGUUUUGAAUCAAAAAAAAUUUUAACCGAACCAAAAAUUGAGGUGUCACAAUUGUCUACAGUAUGCUUAGCUUAUACAUGUGAUGGUUAGACAGUUAUGUUCAUGUUUCUACUUGAUGAUGUGAAAUUCAUUAAACUAAGAUAAGUUGUUAAACUAUAAUAAGUCCUUAAAUUAUGAUAAGUCAUGUUCAUGAGAUCCAUGUUAUGGCAUGUCUUUUUUCCAGGAUUAAUGCUCCCAUUAUGUCCAUCAUAUUCAUGUUACGGUUAGGUAGUUAUGUCAUGUUAUGUAUUAUUUAAUGAUGUGCAAGUUGUACCCUCGAAUUAUGAUAAGUCAUGUCAUGUCUCCCUGAUAAGGGUUUAUCUCAUUUUCAUGUGAUCCAUGUUAUGGUUAAGUGGUUAUGUCAUGAUAUGUUGGGUUAUUACAUGAUGAUGUGCAAGAUGUGCCUUGAAUUAUGAUAAGGCUAGACUACUUCAAGGUUAGGGUGUGAUAUGUCUACAUGACUAGUGAGUAGUGAAUAAGUACACGUUACUUAGACAAGUAAUGUGUAUUAGAAACAUGUAACUUUCUGGCUAGACCACCACCCCCUAUGUUGUGAUCUCAUGGUACCGUCUGAUGGAUACAUACUCACGGACUCUCACGUUCACGUUUGGGCCGGUAUUGCCCCUCAUGUUACCGUCUGACUGAUACGUACUCGCAGACUCUCACGUUCAUAUUUGGGCUGAUAUUGCCCCAUGUUUCUCACGUUUGGGCCACAUUUUUCCCCUUAUGUUACCGUCUGAUGGAUACAUAGUCCCAAACUCUCACGUUCACAUUUGGGUGUUGGACUAGUUAGUUGAGUUGGGGGGGGACGUCCCGCUAUUGAAAGUUCAAGUGAUAAGAUACCUCAGAUAAGUUCAUGUACAAGUAUGUCAAGUUCAAGGGAUAAGAUAACUUAGAUAAGAUCAAGUAUAAGAUUCAAUGUUAUGUGUUUUCAUGUUCGCUAAGUGAUGUUGGUGAUAAUGACCACCUGAUAUGAUAUGUUCAGUGAUUGUCAUGUGCUGAUGUGUUGUGAUAUGUUCAAAUGUUUCUUAGAUGUGAUAACUAUGUGUUGGGAUAAAUAUUCAUGUAAUGAUGUGUUCCUUAUGUUCCAAUGUGCCAUGGAUUUGAUGACUAGUUGUGAUCAAUAUUCAUGCAGUGAUGUGUUCCUUAUGUUCCAAUGUUCCUUUAGAAUGGAUUAGAGGUUCAACCUUUGAUGAUGACUAUGUUACUUGCCAUGUUGAGUUCUCAUGUGUUAGGAUUACACAAAGAUGGAUACUAUAUCUUAUAUGCCUACUUAGCUAGUAUCAAUGAUGCCUUAUACAAUGAUAUGUUUUUGUCUUCCCUAUGUUCUAGCAUGAUACUCAUGUUAUGUGUCUACAUAACUAAGUCAGAAUAUGUUGUGGUUAGAUAACUAGAAAGCAUGUCCCUAAGUAAAGGCAAUGUUUGAAUAUAGCAAUGUCUGAUUAAGGUGAUGUCUGAAUAAGGUAAUGUCUGAUUAAGAUGAUGUCUGAAUAGUUUGAUGUCUGGAUGAGUUGAUGUUUGAAUAAUUUUGAUAUUGUUAAACUUAAGUUGGAAAUCAUAUGUGUUAUAUUAGAGCAUAAUAGACUAACCCCAGAACCACCCACUAGGGUGUUUCUAAGUUGAUGCAGUAGUAGAGUUGAGCUGAUUCGGAUGUGCAGCGAUGGACUUGGUAUUCAAUGUCGGGUUUGAGUUUCAAGUGUUUAUUCUGAGACUUGAUUCUUUUCAUGUUGUCUUAUGUUGGAGCACUCUCCGCUUUUGUUAAAGCAGAUGAUCAUUUUCUAUCUUUUUGGUUGUUCUAUUUAAAUAAAGUUUUUGAAAUUCCUUUGAGUUGAGUCCCUAUAGGGCAAUUUGGUUAUUAAAUAAAUAGAAAGUUUUUGGGGUGUGUCACAAGCGCCCGCGACAAAGAGUAAAACCUGCGACCAUUGUAUGAGCGCUAAUGGAUUUAUUCAAACGUUGUCGCAGUCCGCCUAAAACAAGAGCUCGACUGCGAUAAACAUAGUGAAUGACUACCCUUCAGCAGCCGAUCUCCACUCAUUCCACACAGCUUCAACUCUCCUCCCAUCUGAAAUCCUCCUAUUCCUCUCAAUUUCCUCCAUCGAUUUUCUCCUCUUCUCUUCUCCAAUUUUGUCACCCCGACUUCCACCCUUUUCUCGAAAUCGCCAAUAUCAGCUUACUGUUACUAACAAGAAGCAUAAGAGUUCGAUUUUGAUAUAGUUGUGUCGGGCAAUCGCAUUGUGUUUGAGUUGAAGAAUCAGGGGGUUAAACCUGUAGGUCCACUUCAUUCCUUCAUGGGAUACUACAUAAGUGAGUGUACAAGAAAUUAUGCUUACUACCCGGUCUCUCCAAUCGAAUGGAAGAAGUUGUCGCCCCAAUUGAAGACACGGGCUUGGGAGCAGUUUGUGCUAGUAAGUAUUAUUUUAGUUUUUUUAAUUAGAUAUAUUUUUGUAGUUAAAAUUGUAACUAGUUAGUGCUUAAUUGAUUUAUAUUAUAAACCUCUUUUCACAUUGAGGCGAAUGAGAUGGUUGAAGCUCGCAAAUAUUGGGAUCGCAAUGUUGGAAGACUGUUGGGGGAAGUCAAGGAUCACAAUUUGGCAAGCUUAGUUGAAGCAUGCACAAAUAAACCAACUCCCUCCAUAGUGGAUUAUGAAUAAUUCCUUGACAGGUUGUCCAAUGGCUGAUUGGAUAACGUACUUGUUGCGAGUUAACGACAAGUAGUUCGAGAUAGUACAUAUAUUUACAGAUUUCUAAUUGUAUUUGAUUGUAGUUUUUAAUACCGACUCAAGAACUUUUAUGUGCUUGAGUCAUAUCAAAUCAAGCCGCUCAAAUGGAAAACCAUAAAGGAGGGAGAAGGCCAUGUGAUACAUAUGUCAAGGAAACCAUUGAGAAGAUGGGUAAGCCACCUUCUCUACGCCAGAAGUUCAUAAAGUUCUUCCACUAACUAGAUGGAAGUUACAAAUCAGAACAUGGAAUACUUGUGGUGGUAAUGACUAGUUUCCAUAUAUAUAAUAGAUAUAGCUUUAAACUAGAAGACAAUAGAAUUAAUUGAACAUCUGUUAUGUAGGAGACUAUCAGCAACUAGAGCGGGAAGGAGCACCGACUGAGGUUGGGCCUAAUGACUCAUUGGCUCAAACACUAAACAAGCCAAAGCAUCGAGGCCACGUUCGGAUGAUGAGUUUGGGGUUUACCCCACAAUGGUAAUAAUGUUCAAUUUCAAAUUUGUUCUUUCUUGGGUCGUUAGUGUUUGUACCUUGUUUGGUGAUAUUUGUACUGUUUUUUCUUUAAGGUAUUUGGUGGUGCUAGCACUUGUUCAUCAUCAUCAUCAGCUCCUUCUGCCUCUGGGAAUGCAAGUGUGUCCUCAAAUGCUGCUCCUAGUGCUCCCCCUCCCUUACGAGAAGAGUUUGAUUGGAUGUCGUAGCAGAUGGCAUUGAUGUUGCAACAGUUGGCUACAAUGUAUUACAUGAUGUCGUCGGAGCUCGCCGGUGCUUUUACCUAAGUUUUGACUCCUGGGAUAGUUCCUGGUACUCCAUUCAAUCCAAGUCCUCUAUAUCUGUAUUAGGAGCCUAUGCAGCAGCAACAACCAUCUCAACAAUAGCAACAAGCUCAUGAGACCAAUCUUAUGGGUUACUUCCCAUUCUCUCAAGAAGCCAAAAAUCAGUUUCGCCUUCAUGGGAUGAUGGCGAAGCCUUUUCUUCCCUUCUUCAUACAUUAGAAAGAGUGAGUUUUAUAAUUAGUUUCUUGAAAUUUCAAUUAGAAUUCAUGUUUGUACUUACUUGUGUUUUUUAUGUUUAUAUAUAGGUCCCCAUUCCAGACACGAGGGAGCAACGAGAUGAUGAUGAUUGUUCGUAGUUGUAUUUCUAGUUAGUUCUAGCUCUCUCCCCAUCCCUAUUCCCAUAUAUUAUGUAGUAUUUGAAACUUCUAAGAUAGUUUCUUAAGAUAAUUUCUUAACGUUUGCAUAUUAAUGUUUGUUAUUGUAGUUUGGAAUUAUUACAUGAGAUGGUAAUUAUGGAAUUAUUAUGUGUUAUUAUGGAAACCUAAAAACUGCUCUAAAUUCUAAAAUUCUGCUCUAAAUUCUAGAACAUUGAAAAAGCUCUAUAACUGCAAAGGUAGAUCAAUUUGAAAGUGAUAGGUGGCACCAUACCAGAAUAGACACAUCUCCAGCAUUAUUGUAAUAGGCUAGUCGCAGGCCCUUUCUCGCAAGUGUUGACUACGAUUGGCCGGUCACUGGUAGCGCCUGUGAUAAAGCGCCUACAACCAGCCAAUCGCAGCCAACGGCUACGACAAGGCGAGCUUUGUCACAUCAAUAAUUGUCGCAUGCCUAUUUCUAUUUGUCGCAUGCACUGUAUGUAACCAUCCUUCUAUUUUAUGGCAGGCUGGCCUGCGACAUUGUUUUGUUUUUGCUUGUGACUGUUUUCCCUUUUUAUUGCAGUGUAAGUUAUACACUUUCAUGCAUUAUUACGUGUUGAAGAUGGAUUCUAACGUGAUUUUGAAAGCUCCUAGACCGAAACGAGUGACCAUUUAGUUUGAUUCUUUUAGUAAUGUGUAAAUGAAAAGUCUACAUGCUAAAUAUAAAUUCAUAAAUUUGUUCUCAAUAAUAAAAAGUUUACUAGUUAAGAAUAGUUGAAAUAUUGAUGGACGAUGUUAAGUUCAUCCUUCCAUAAAUUUAAUUCACAAACUUAAAAUGAUUCGUAAGUGAAAUGUUAGUAUUAAGACGUUCACAGAUGAAAACAACAAAGAUUGAACAUCAAACUGUAAAGAUAAAAAUAAACUGUAUCUCAUAUUAUUUGGAAUUAAGNNNNNNNNNNNNNNNNNNNNNNNNNNNNNNNNNNNNNNNNNNNNNNNNNNNNNNNNNNNNNNNNNNNNNNNNNNNNNNNNNNNNNNNNNNNNNNNNNNNNNNNNNNNNNNNNNNNNNNNNNNNNNNNNNNNNNNNNNNNNNNNNNNNNNNNNNNNNNNNNNNNNNNUAAUAUAAUACUCAUAAGUGGACAUAACAUAGACAUAAUCCACCUAUAAAGUGGACACAAUGAUUAUAUAUAUAAUUUUAUCAUAAUAUGAACAUAACAGUGACAUAAUUUACUUAUAAAUGUAACAUAAUAGUGAAUUAACAUACUCAUAAGGUGAAUAUAAUAGGGACAUAAAAUGUUCGUAAACCAAGCCUAAAAGAUGCCUAAUAAACUUAUAACUUAGACAUAACAUAGGCAUAAAAGAAUUGCAGUAGUACUGAUAUUUAGGUUAUGUAGCAUAAUAGCCUAAAACAAGUGGUCUACUCAAAACACUAAAAAUUGAUAUAUAAUCGUAAUAUAAUUGUUCUAUGACAGUUAUCCGUUAUUAACAUAGAAGUUGUACAAACAUAUUGUGACACCUUGAUUUUGGGUUGAGUAUGAUUCUAGGAUAGUAUUGGUUUUUGUGAGUCGGUGAGAAUCACUGUCAGACGGUCCGUCACGGGCGUAUCGGACAGUCUCUCAUAGGCGUGAUCAUCAGGUAGAUCAUGAUCGUGGUCAAUGAUAGUCACGAACGUGGCAGCCGGAGGAUGACGGCCGUGACCAUCAGUAGGUCAUGGACGUGGUUUCCAUGUCACAACGGGUGAGGUAAGCAGUACGCCAUGGGUGUGGUGGACAACUUAUGAAACCUAAUUUUCUUCUUCCUUGCAAACUUCUGACGAGCGACGAUUGUUCCAGGCACAGGGGAAAGUCUUGUUGAUCGAUCCAGACCAGUAGGAGAGGCCUAGAGAUCAUCGAGGAAGCUUUAGGAGGUAAUCUACCUUCUUCCUCGUUCGUCAAUCCUUUUCUUUGAAUCCCAUGUAGGAAAAUCCUGACAGGUUUGGAUUUGGAGUUUUGGGAUUUCAAUUUUAUGAUUGUUCCCUUCAGGUUAUAUGGAUUAGGCAAGCAAACUCUAGGUUUCAGAUCAUACUCUUCAGAGGAAAGCUUUCAGAGGUAGGGGUUAGGAUUACUUUUCUGCUUUAUGCGAAGAAUUGUAAUUAGUUGUCAGGAAUCCUUGUUUGGAUUUUCAGAAUUGUACAAUAGUGUGCGAUCUACUGUAUAGAAAGAUUUGUUAUGCAGUUUAGAGUUUCGGGUUGUACAAUAGCGUGUGAUCUACUGCAUAGGCAGAUGGUUAUGAUUCGAGCAUAAGCUCACAACGAGAAACUAUGCAUUUAUACAGUUCAUGUUAGGAUUAAGAAUCAGAACUAGAAUAUACUAGCUCACGAUAUACGUUGGUCACCCACCCUAUAGAUUGUGCGAUCCCCGAGGCUACAUUUACUUUCAGGUAGGACUUGACGAUAAUGCCUUCAGUUGCUGCUCUCACGGUCUGAUCCACCAUGAGGUCAUCCGCUCAUAGCUAGGGGUGGCUAAUGUUAGGAUAAUACCUAGAGGACCACAUGGUCACAUUACUAGAUACUAGUUCAGUUUUUCAUGUUCAGGGUCAGCUGCUCAGUGCUUAUCACUGACCUUGUUACAUUUCAUUAUACAUGAUCAACCUUGGGACUUCAGGAGCCAAUGCCGCUUAAGAAAGGAGCAUGAGUAGUGACACCACCUCGCAGUGAGUCUGGGAGUCACACAGAGAGGUACCAUCGAGUACCUCAGCUGUCUCUUUCAGUGUUUUCAUAGUUUUAAGACAGUCUUUCAUGUUUUUUCAGUUGUUUGUGAGACUUAUUUUACAGUGGUUGUUUUCCCAGGUUUGGGAUGUCUUUUAGUGAUGUUCAUUUUUGAAUUCGAGCCAUGAUGCUCUGUUUAUUUUUUGCUGUCGUUUUACUUAAGUAUUGAGGAUUUUCAGUUCAGUUAAUGUAUGUCAGUUGUUAUGAUAUAAGUUUGAGUGAACCCAUGAGCAAUGCAUGGAUAGAACCGUGUGGUUUGAUCGAGUCAUCUAGGGGUGGGUUUCACACAUAUUAGUUAUAUUAUGUGACAUUAUAAUAAAUAAUAAAGGGAAUAUUGUCAUUUACCCUCUUUUACUUCACCCAACUCGCAUUAAGCCCUCUAUACAAUUCAAUGUUCCAUUAACCCCUACACAUUGCCCACUUUACCAUUCGUCUCCUUCCGUUACGCUUUCCAUAUGUACACCGUUAAAACCAUACAACUCAACAUGCCAUGUAAGUUUUUCGGCACCACAUCAGCGUUUAAUUCCUUUAACAAUUCAUGAAAUAUAAAAAAUUCCAGACACCCUUCUUUCUUCACUCUUCUCCACUCGACCCCCAACCUUUCUCACAUCCGAUGCAGCCGAACUUCGCCCCGAGGGUGAACACAAGGAGAGGAGGGUUGCUAGAUUUUGGGUGUUGUUUUUGCACUCAAAUCCGAUUCAAAAGAAAUAUUGGCCACACUGGAAAAAAGUUAUGGUUUGAUCAUCCUCUAAACAUUCGUAGCAGUGUAAUUCAAGGUCUUAAAUUGGCUACCACUACCAAUUGGAAAGUGAGCAAGCCAAUUUGUAGCGAACACCAAGUGUUCAACAAAAUUCUUAGAUGCUAAAAGACUCUUACUGGCAUCACAAACACUUGACAAGGGUGCUAAGUCACUAUUUGACACCCCCUAACAUUCCAAUCACCUAAAUUGUCACUACCUAAGUGAUUACCAAAAUGCACUCAAGGUGUUAGAUAAAAUGCCACUAAGAGAAUCCUCACACUAAUGGUUGAAUUGGGGUGUGUGCUUGGUCCACACACCCUUACCCCAAUCUUGGACUACACACUUACUCAAGUCAAGCACAAUUAAGUAAUUGAAAGAGUACAUUUGACCUAGAACAAGCCAUAGCACAUUCUAAGUUGCAAUAACCAUAGUCCAACCAUUCUCAAAUACCAUAAUCCAUAUCUAACAUGUAUCCAAAUCCUCGUCAUGAGGGGAUCAUCCUAGUACAUAGCAAUACCCUAAUCUAACAACUAAAGAGUCUAGCCACUCAUCAUGACACUAAAACUAAAGAAAAGGGAUACAAUCACCAUCAAUCAACUAGUAUGAAGAAGAUGAUGAGGGUAGGAUCCUUCCUCAAAGCUCUACUAUUCCAAUUCCUUCAAUCCUUGGUCUUCUCUAGCUCCGAAGCUUCUUCAAGGUCUUCAAUUGAUCUUCUAAGGCUUCAAAUUGGGUGAAAAUCGAGAGAGGAGUCGGGUCUCAACAAUUGUUAUGACUGUAGUGUGAAUUGUUCGUCCAAUCUCCAUGGACCAUAUGCCAUGUGGACCAACACGGGCUCCAGAUGCCAUGUGGCCUAAUUUCCAGCUUAGGACUUUGUUCUUUGAUCGCACAUAUCUCCCUCGUCCGACCUCCGUUUGAGCUCUGGUUGGUCUCAUUGGAAUUUUCUCGUUGUUCUUUAUGCAUCGGAUACCUACAGCCUCAUAUAUACAAUGAGAAACGAGGUCGAACGGACCAAAAUGAUCCAUUUGACAAAAUGAAACAAGAACCCCUUUUUUUCUUCCAACCAAUCACAAAGGAGGGUCAAAACUAGGUCAAACAAGGUAAAAAACAGUCAAGAUGUGGUCAAAUUGGCAACAAAUAAUCGUGCUAUCACAUCCCCCCACACUUGAACGUUGCUUUUCCUCAAGCAAAUCUACUAAUCACACUCAAAGAGAACUCGAAACAGGGUGAAAAGAAAAUAUUUCCUAGCAUUUCAAGCCUAUUUCACGAUGCCAAGAUUGCAAGUCAAUCACCAAACCACUCAAUUAUGUAUAAGACAUUGAAUCCCUUAAAAAAUUUCACACCAAACUCUAAUAUAUAGAUAUUAUGAUUAGAUACCUAAACAAGCGAAUGUACUAAAGUUUCUCCAAUGCACUUAUGUCAUAUGGUACUAGCGGAAGAAAUGGACAGACAGACGGUCCUGGCUGGGUAUUUUUCCCGUCUUGAGGGAGGGGAUGCCUGAUCUAACAUAAACAUAACUAUCACCAAGUAUACUAGCAUCUCCCUCUUCUUUUACUCUACUUUGCUUUCUUUUGUAUUUAGUUUUCAACUAUCUUUUCUCCCUCUUUUUUUUCACAUGGAUGCUUUUUCCAAAUGAGGUGGUUGUGAUUCCAAUUAGGCUCAGAUCCGGUGAAUACCGGGCACCAGUACCGCAAUCCACACAUCGAAGGGUUGAGAAGAGGAGCCCGAGGUGUUGAGCAUACGAGUGGCAGAUCGAAAUCUACCUUGCGUGUUUGAAUCACAACCUUCCUCCAUAUCAUUCUUAAGCACAUUGGCCUCCUGUCCAUUUUGACUUCAUAAUACCAUAGACAAGUUCAAAAAGGAGAAUCAAUCAUACAUAUCGAGCAAGUAAAGGUGAAAACUCAAAACAUCCAUAUGUGCGAGUUUGAAGCAAACUAAUUUCAGGAAAAUGGGAGGUAGUCCACAAAUGAUUACUCAACAACCUAUUCGUCCUCAAGUAGUAUGAAUAAACUAGGUAUGCAUCCAAAGAGAUUCACAUAUUCAAAUUUGAGAGGGAGUAUCAAAAUUCAAGAGCAAGUCAGAAAAAAUGCUACCAAGAUAUGCACAAAAAUUCUCAAACCCGAAUAGUAUAAAAAAAUCCUCCCCCCCCCCACACUUGUACAACACAUUGUCCUCAAUGUGAAAAGAUAUAAGGGGAAGAGGGGUACCAAACGGGGGUGAGGAGUGAAGCCGGAUGAGAAGAUGAAGGAUCAAGAUCGAGUACCUAGAGUUUCACAAAAGGCAAGAACAAAAAAAAAACAAAAAAAAAACGCAGAAACAAACACGAAUAAUGGUCGAGUCAAGAGAAAAGAAGAUAUCUCAAGGCCGUCGAGGAGCUGUCUCAACAAGAAUCCAAUCCACUUAGGCAAGAGUAUACAAGAAUGUGCACAAGUAGAUAUGGAAGAGGCAAGAUGCAUAAGAUAUGCAUAACCAAUAAAGAAGAUAACUAGUUAUUCUCAACCAAGACUAACUAGCAAUCCUAAACAAGAGCAUCCUAUAAUCCAUAAAUGAGUAAGACAAGGGUGAGAAAAAGCUAUGGAACCAUCUCAACUCAUUUAGAAUCAAUUCCAGAAAGUUAUCAUCACAAACGUGUACCAAGUCCAAUCAACAAGAAUGAGCAUAAAGAGUGUAUGCAAAGCAUCAAGUGAACAAAGUAUGCAUCAUUCAACUAUAAUCAAUUUGAGAGCUCAAUGGACUACUAGUAUGCAUCAUUCUUCUUUGACUCAUUAACCAAAACAAUGAGCACAUAUGGAUAAUCAAAAGUAGUGGCAUGAUCAAAAUUCAAGCAUUAGAAGCAAUGAGCAAAGUCACAAUCAUCAAUUCAAUAAUUGGACGCAUCAAAUUCACCUAGCAACAACCUAGGUUCAACCAUACAAGGGAGCACAAAGAUGCAAUUCCAAAUUCUCAUCGCAAGAAUUCAACAACCCACAUAAUUCUUGUUCAAAAAUAUCAUAUUGGCAAAGCUAGACAUUCAAGUAGGCACAACCAUCUGAAACUGGCAAUUGCAAUGUUCAAAUUAGCACAAAAGCAUCAUUUGACCAAAUUUGACCACAAUUCAAACUUUCCACACACUCCAUCAAUCAAACCAGAGCAAACAGAACACAGACGACACAGAUUCAGGCCACAUCAUCAACCAAAAAGUCGUAGGCAGUCAAACGAGCUUUCCAACGCCGCUGGUCUUGCGAAAAACAAACGCUCGAGCAAGAAGUUAUGCUCAAAAUACCGAACCACAGCAUUUUUUCGCACAAGGCGACCAAUCAACGGAGGGUCAACGUCCGGUGAACCGGUCUGGUCAAACUCAGGUUGGUUCGGUUUGAAAAUCGGUUAAACAAUGCACCCCCUUCUUUGAAUAGUGCAUCUUGGCACAUUUUUAACACAAUCGAGCACGUUUCGGAGCUGGAAAUUCAAGUUUUUUUUUAGAAAACCCAUUGGAACUGUAGAUUUUGCAUAAAAAGUACGCUUUAGCCUUUUGUUUCCAAAAUCAAGCAAAUUUUAGGAUCUGAAAGUUCAAUUUUUUCAGAAAACCCGUAGGAAGUGUAGAUUUUUCAUAAAAGUAAGUCUGAGCAUAUUUUUUAGUAAAACAACCAUUUUUUAGCUCUCGAAAAUAUAAAAAUUUCAAGACUGCUUUUUUUCUUUUUCCUAAUGCAACGAAACUUCCUGCUAGCCUUAGGCACACUAAGAUAAGAUCAAGCAAAUCUCCAAACACUCGUUCUCUCGUCCCGGUCAUCACAAGAACACAAGAAACAAAAACACAAACAAAACACGACAAACACACAAUCAUGCAAGUUUUAUUCAAUUUUCCUACUCCUAAGCUACACUAUUCAUGACGAGACACCUAUGGUAUCACCAACUUGGUAAUGUUCAAGAUGCAUCCCACAAAGUAGAAGAGGGUCAAGAUGAGUAGAGGAGGUUACCUCGAUCUUGGAAGGAACGAACUUUUGUUACCAUAAAGGGGCCGGAGAUGAGGACUCUAUCGCCCUCUUUGAGUGCUUGUUUGGUGGGGAGGUGCAAAUCAUGGAGUUGCUUGAUCGCUUUCUUGCAACUCCCAUCCUUGACCUUGUGGACACUUUUUUGGUGAGAAGAAGGAUUCUUGGGCUCAAGGUCUGGUGGUUCUUCAUGCAUGUUCCUCGCCUUAGCAUGCACUCCCUUGAUCGAGAUAGCUUCGGUUUCCUUAUUAUACUAUUUCACACACUCGCUCAAGGAUGGAUCCAAGGCUUCAUGAUGAAGAGAUACAUUAAUAGCAUAAACUAAAGCCAUUUCAACGGGCUCGCCAAUAUCAUUAUCAUCUUGAGGAUCCGGGUGCUCCAUACCCCCGAUCAAUUGAAAUGUGGCUUCCUUUUGACCCACUCUCAAGGUAAGCUUACCCUCAAACACAUCUAUGAUUUCCUUCGACGUGUUGAGAAAUGGACGACCCAAAAUCAAUGAAACGUCGGUGUCUCCGGUGUCAAUCACAACAAAAUCCACCGGAAACAUGAACCUUCCAACAUGCAUAAUAACAUCUUCAACUACACCACUAAGCAAUUUUGUAGUUUUUUCCGCUAGUUGGAUGCACAUCUUAGUUGUUGUAAGUUGACCUAGGCCUAGUUUCUUGUACAAUGAAUAUGUCAUGACAUAUAUACUAGCACCUAGAUCUGCUAAACCUCUUUCAAUCACAACUUGACUAAUCAUGGAAGGGAGAAAGAAACUACCCAGAUCUUUGCGUUUGCAAGGGAGGUCCCUUGAGAGGAUUGUCGAGCAUUGCUCAUUGAGAUUGAUGUUGGAAGCUUCUAUGAGCCUUCGCUUGUUGGUGAAGAUCUCCCUUAGGAACUUGGCGUAUUGAGGCAUCCUUUCGAUUGCCUCGACGAAAAGAACGGUGAAGUUCAUAUUGCAAAGUCGAAGCACAAGUUGCUUUAAGCUCUUCUCGAGAAGAUCCUUAUCCAAUUGGUUGGGAUAAGGUGGCUUAGGGUUGUAUGGAGCCGACUGGGGCUAGGAGAUAGGAGAAGCCUCAGUUGAACUCUUCGUAGCCUUCUUGGAACCAACUUCAGUUGACACCUUUGGCUUUCCAUUACUCUUUGGAGCUUUCGGAACUAAUGCAUGCGGAACCGGUGCACUUUCUUCGACCAUCACUUCAUUCUCUUAAUCACUAGAUGCUUCAUUUUUCAUUAACAUCUUUCACAAGAAAUUCAUUAUCAUGCACAAGCUUGCUAGGUACAUCGAUAGGAGGAUCGAUUAAAUUUAGGAGUUGUGGACACAUAGUGUCUCAUGCUCCUAGUUGUGAUAGAUCCACAAGUUUCCUUGCUCUUUGGAUUGGUUAUGAUAUUUCUAGGUAGAGUGCACGGUUGCCGACUUGAAAGAGCGUGUGUGAGGUAUCCAACUUGAUUCUUAAGAUCCACCAUUUGAGCUUGAGUUGAGGCAUUGUGGGUGUCUUGAAAUGCUCUUUGCUCUUGAGUCACCUUGUUGUGCUCUUGGAAGAACUUAGCUUGAUUCUCAAUCAUUUGGUUUCCUCCAUUGAAGCUCCCUUGAACAUAAUCAACUUCUUUAAUGAAGUGCUCUUCCUCCGGUGCGAAAUCGGGAGCAAGGGAUUGGCAAGUAGAGGUGGCAUGCCCUUCGUUCCCAUAACAUUCACAAACAAAGAGUUGCACAACCAGUUGAUUCACCUUUGGUUCUUGUACCUCUUUCUUUUGAGGUGGAGUGGCGGUUGGUCUCACCACCGGUUGAGCCAAGGCAAGUGCUUUGAUUUGAGCCGCCAUGCCAUCCAUCCUUGAUAGCAUCAAGUGAACAAGAUGGUUGGGAUCUUCCUCCUUAUGUCCCGGCAUCUCCUUAAGGACCUUUGGAGCUUGAGUGCGAGUACAAACAUAAGGAUCUAUGCUCACCACCUUAGCUUCUAUAGGACCUUGUUGCCUAGACCAACUCUUCAUCUUCACCGCCAUUUCCCGGAAGACUUGAAGCCAUCAUUUGGCGAGGAGUGAUCUCAAGUCUCCUCCCGCCGCUUGAUUGGUCAUCUUGGUGUCCUCAUAAGUGAGUCCUCAUAAGUGAGUCCUCUAGCAAAGGUCUCCGCGAGUUUCCACUCAUUGAAGUUGAAGUUGUGAUGAGGGCAAGAGUAGAGAAGGGCUUGGGACCUCUCCCAAGCUUCAAAGAAUGGCUCUCCAUUAAUUUUCUCAAAGUUGGAGAUUCUACUUUGGAUCUCAUCCGUCUUGUAAGGCAGGAAGAAUUCCUCCAAGAAGGCCUUUGCUAGAUUGUCCCAAGCUUGGAAGGUAUUGUUUCGUUGGUUGUCGAGCCAUUGAUUUGCCUUCCAUUGGAGUGAGAAGGGAAGAGUCGGAGUUGAAUGGCUUCUUGCGACACAUGAUUGAACUUCAUUAGAUCCAUGAUCUCGAGAUAGCUACUUGGACAUUCGUGCUCGUGCCCAUGGUAUACGUUUUGUUGCACCAUUUGAAUGUAGUUGAACUUCAACUCGAAGUUCCGGUUAUCAAUAAGGGGUGGAGCACACUUGAAGAAGUACCUUCAAGAGUUGGCUUAGGUAAUCACCUAGAGUUCUUUGAGGUUCUUGAGCCAUCUCAAAGAUGUUAACAAAUUCAUCAGCCUCUCCUUUGCAAGAUGAAACAAUUGAUGAGUGAUCCAGGGUUGUUAAAGAAGUUGCGAUGUGAGGUGGUGGUGGUGCUUGAGGUGGAGAUGAGAUGAAUCUCUUUGGUAGACGCCUUGUACGCUUCAAUCUUCUCAUGCACUAAUAGUGCAUGAACGGAACCUACACAACAAAGCAAACAACCAAGGGAACACAACAAAGGAAUAAACACACAAGAAGGGGGUAGCAAUAAGUAAAAUGGAUUAGGUAGAAUGCCUAAAUCGGUGUCUAAUCUACUCUUUCAAGGGGGUGAUUACACUCCCCAACAAUGGCGCGAUUUUGAUCCUCUAAAAAAGAACCAAACAAACAUGAUCGGCUAAGAAAAGGGACUAAUCCCAAACCCAAGGUCUCAAGUGACAAUUUUCACGAGGAACAGACCACCAACCCUAUACUCAACUAUUAAAGACACGGUUUAAGCUCACAAAAGUUCAAAAUGCUAGUUCCUUAAAUUAUCCACUAAAGUACAUAUCAUUCACAAGAGUAAUUGGAACUAAAUUAAGCUAACGAACUAAGCAAACAAGAUACUAAAGAGGGUGAACACAAGGAGAGGAGGGUUGCUAGAUUUCGGGUGUUGUUUUUGCACUCAAAUCCGAUUCAAAAGAAAUAUUGGCCACACUGGAAAAAAGUUAUGGUUUGACCAUCCUCUAAACAUUCGUAGCAGUGUAAUUCAAGGUCUUAAAUUGGACUACCACUACCAAUUGGCAAGUGAGCAAGCCAAUUGGUAGUGAACACCAAGUGUUCAACAAAAUUCUUAGAUGCUAAAAGACUUACUGGCAUCACAAACACUUGACAAGGGUGCUAAGUCACUAUUUGACACCCCCUAACAUUCCAAUCGCCUAAAUUGUCACUACCUAAGUGAUUACCAAAAUGCACUCAAGGUGUUCGAUAAAAUGCCACUAAGAGAAUCCUCACACUAAAGGUUGAAUUGGGGUGUGUGCUUGGUCCACACACCCUUAAUCCAAUCUUGGACUACACACUUACUCAAGUCAAGCACAAUUAAGUAAUUGAAAGAGUGCAUUUGACCUAGAACAAGCCAUAGCACAUUCUAAGUUGCAAUAACCAUAGUCCAACCAUUCUCAAAUACCAUAAUCCAUAUCCAACAUGUAUCCAAACUCUCAUCAUGAGGGGAUCAUCCUAGUACAUAGCAAUACCCUAAUCUAACAACUAAAGAGUCUAGCCACUCAUCAUGACACUAAAACUAAAGAAAAGGGAUACAAUCACCAUCAAACAACUAGAAUGAAGAAGAUGAUGAGGGUAGGAUCCUUCCUCCAAGCUCUACUAUUACAAUUCCUUCAAUCCUUGGUCUUCUCUAGCUCCCAAGCUUCUUCAAGGUCUUCAAUUGACCUUUUAAGGCUUCAAAUUGGGGGAAAAUCGAGAGAGGAGUCAUAUCAUCAUACAUCUUAAUAUUAUCUCUAAUUGGGACCACCUCAAUAUUAUCUGCAACAAUCUCAUCCUCAGUGUCAACCUCUAUGGCAAGUAGCUGUUGUAACUCCGUUUCUGAAGAUGAUGCAACCACUCCACUAGAGGAGGCAUCACAAUGAACAGCAAACCUACAUGAACAAACUCUAUACGAUUGAGGUUACCAAACAAAUCACCCCACACUUAUCUUUUGCAUAAACCAAUAUGCAUUAAUCAAGCUGUAGAAAAAGAGAAGAGUGGGCUUAGAAGCAACUAUUGAACAUCUCAUCCAAAUAGGAAAUCUGUCAUAAUAAAGAAUACUCAACAUCAUUAAGGCAAUCCACGUAAGGUUUAGGGCACUUAGAAACUAUCCACAAAGUCACACAAACAAUGUAAGACAUGUAAAAUUUCAUAAAUUCUUAACCCAGAAAAAUACCGAGCAAAACUCAACAUUCCUAUGACACCUAAUCAUAUAAUUUCAAAGUGCAAAGGAUGUCAUUAACAUCCUAUAUCAUACCCAAUUGAAUUCUAGCAUCAUCAAUUUCACAAAACCUCAUAUUUGAAAUUUCAAGUUCUUCAAGCUAAUCAUCAAUCUCAACAAUUUAACCAAUCAGGGCAAAGUGAACAAGGAGAAACUGGGCAAAAUUCAAUGUAAACUAGCUCAAAACUCACUCAAAGUUGAUGAAAAACGAAGGGGGGAGAUUGGGGGAGGGUUCGGCGGUGACCGACAACGGUUCUAUGGUGACAGGAGUGCGGAGUUUUGAAUGACGGCAAAGGGGUAGGAGGGUGGAGUCGGCGUCAGUGGAAUGUUUGAAAAAAAUAUGGUUCAAAAAUCGGCUAAGGCUAGAAUAUUUAGAAACCCGUGUCAACUAUUGCAUUGUAGAAGUGUCAAAAAUGCGGUAUGGACAUAGCGCAAUGUUUGACAAAUCAUAGCGCAAUGAUUGAAAGGAUUUCCAGAACUCAAUGUCAACAUUUUUUCUAUAGAUGGUCAAUUAUUGCGCUAUGGGCAUAGCACAAUGCUUGACACAGAUCCAUAGCACAAAGGUUGACAUCCUAUUAUGUGAACUUCCAUAGUUCAUGAAAGAAUCAACACUCUUUGCAUUGACGACUGGGGACAAGAAUGACACUCAAGUAUCACGUUCUAGACUCGAUCUAACUCCUACACAUGCAAAUUGACUCAAAGAAUAUGAAAAAUACUGACUCCAGACAUGGGCUUCCUUCCAUGAAGCGCUCUUUCUUUAACGUCUUUGAGCUAGAUGAUACAAGGACCUCAAUUUAGCAUCUUCAAAGUAAUGAACUUUUACUCCAUCGGUAGGCUUGGUACUGAGAUAUAGCUUGAGACGUUGACCGCUGAAUUUAAUGUUCCUUGGUCCGGAUGUGUGAUCUCCACAAAUCGGUAGGGAAAUGAUUGUGUGACUUCAUAAGGUCCCGACCAUCUUGAUUGUAAUUUUCCCAAAAAUAGUCAGAGCUGGGAGUUGUAGAGCAGCACCUUAUCUCCCUACUUGAAUUCUUUGACCCCUUGAAUAUUAGCAUCGUCGAUUCGUUUCAUCCUUUCCUUAUAUAUACAUGAGCUCUCGUAAGUAUGAAACAUGUGCUCCUCUAGCUCAAGGAGCUAAUAUUUGCAUUCUGAAGCUACGAGACUAUCAUCCAUGUUUAGCAGCUUCAUGGCCCACCAUGCAUUAUGCUCAAGCUCGACCGGUAAAUGAUAAGCCUUUCCAUAAACGAAUCGAUACGGGAAAGUGUAGAUAGGGAUCUUGAAGGCGGUUCGGUAAGCCCAUAGAGCUUCAUCGAGCCAAAUCGACCUGUCCUUAUGAGACUGAUCGACUGUGCUAUCAAGAAUCUGCUUAAGCUCACGAUUCUUCACCUCCACUUGACCGCUUGCAUGUGGAUGGUAAGCGGUCAUCAAUCAAGGAGCUAUGCUAAAUGUUUGGCAAACUCAAUAGAAUUGACCCUGAAAGUGAGUGACUUUAUCGCUAAUGAUAGCAUGAAGGCCGCUGAAACGCAUGAAAACGCAUGUAAUAAACUUUCCCACUGUCAGAACAUAGUUAGUAGACAGCGGUUGCGCCUCUGCCCACUUUGAGACAUAAUCCACUUUGAAAUGUUACAUGUACGUUGGCAGUUGAUUUUGGGCUUUAAUCUGAAUUCUGUGAAUUUUGGAAAUUGGCUGAUCAAUGGACAGUCACAGGCAUGACAGUCAGUCUAUCACGGGAAAGGUUGUCAGACAGACCACGACCGUUGUCAGCAAACAUUCAUGGGCGUGACCACUGGAAGAUCAAGGGCUUGACCAUCAGGAGGUCAUGGUUGUGACCAUCAGUAGGUCACGGGCAUGGUUUCUAUGUGGCCACGGGUAUGGUGGUAAGUUGGACAUGGGCGUGGUGGACUUAUUAUAUAAGGACAGUUGCAACUUACAACUCAGAAUUACUGAAACCUAAGAACUUUGAAUCCCUCUGCAAAUGGCAAUCAAUUUCAGGAGAUGGAGAAAUCCCAUUUGAUCUAAUCCCAAAUCAUUAGGAAAGGUCUAGAAAUCGUUGAGGAUGCUUCCAAAGCUACUCAAUCUUCUUCCUCCUUUCUCAAUCCUUGAUUGGAAAUCCUACGUAGGAAAUUCCUGACACAUUAGGAUUUGGGGUUUUCAGAUUUCAAUCCUAUGAAUUAAUCUCUACGGGUCAGACAGAACAUGAGGCUUGAUCUUGGGAAGGUAGCUUCAUAUUAGACUCUACUAGGAAAGCUAAUCAGAGGUGGGGGGUUAGGAUUUCUUUUCUGCUUUAAGUGUAGAACUGUAAUUAGGAUUGUCAGGAAUCCGAUUAUUAGAUUCUCAGACUGUGUAGUAGCAUAUGAUUUAUUGUACAUGUGUUGUGAUUUGAAGGGCUCUCAAGACUGUGCAAUAGCGUGUGAUCUACUGUACAUGUAUUACGAUUUUUAGAGCCAAGCUCUUAGUAUUGUGCAGUAACGUGUGAUCUACUGUACAUGGGUUGUGAAACAGAGCCAGGCUCUCAGACUAUGUAGUAGCGUGUAAUCUACUGUACAUGCAGUUGUUUAAUUUCGAGCAUAAGCUCAUGGUGAUUAAACUAUGCUUGUGAUUCACAGUUCAUGUUAGGACAGGAUCAUGUUUAGCUAGAUUAGCUCUCGAUAUGCAUUGGUCACCCGCCCAUGGAUUGCGCAAUCCCUUAGGUCAUGUUCAGGCUCAUGUUGGACGUGUCGAGUAUGCCUAUAGAUGCUGCUCACACGGUUUUCAGGAUGGUUUCAUAGUUUGAUCCACCAUGAGGCUAUCUACCAUAGCUAGGGGUGGUUGUUGUCAAGAUGAUGCCUACAACCUGUGAGUAAUGCAUGGGUCGAACCAUGUAGUUCGAUUGGGUCUUCUAGGGGCGUGUUUCACGGUAAUCUUCUAUAUAUGUCCCGAAAGCAAGGAUGGUGGCUAUCUCGGUAAACCACUAGCGCUUGUAGAGGUGAUGAUCCGAGACUUCCUUUGCUUCUUCCAAGAGAAAUAAUUGAUCAUCCAGAAAGAGCUCAUUUAUCUCUGCUUCAGCGAAUCGACCCAGAGAAGGCCCUUCAAGGUGCGAUAGGUGGUUAGCUGCAACGUUCUCUGAUCUCGCCUUGCCCUUAAUAGUCAUGUCAAACUCUUGAAGGAGUAGCACCUAGUGAAUCAAUCUCAAGUUCCCAUCCUGUUUAGCUAUAAGAUACUUAAGAGCAAAAUGGUCGCCGGAAUCUGGGCAGAGGUCGCCAGCGGUAACGGCCUCACUAGAGAAGAAGGGUGACCUCCCCACAAUCAUGAGGAGUUCAGUGACCAGAUCUGCAAAGUCUGAAAGAUAAGUUGCUGUUGUGCAUUUGAAUAUUCUAAAGUCUAGCUUCCGUAGCUCUGAAGUUUUGGAUGGUUUACAGUUAUGGACCUUGGUCAGAUUUUUUAUCAUUUGGAAGUUCUAGAUCAGUUAGUGUAAUGGAGGUCAUUAGAGGACUAGAGUAACAUUUAUGUCCUUAAAAUUUUCAGAUUAUUGCAAAUAAGUAAAUGGAGAAGAACUCGGUCGUUUGAGCUCCAAAUGACGCACGGUUAGAACUUACGGAUUUAUGGCAACGAGAGAAAUCAUGCCAAGUUAGGAUCAAAGGUGUCAGAUCUUCUUAACAGGUGGGGGUUUAGGAUUACAUUCUGCUUAUAAGCUUAGAACUAUAAUAGGAUGUUAGGGAAUCCGAUUAUUGGAUUCUUCAUGUGAUUCAGAGCAAGGGCUCUCAGGAUUGUACAAUAGCGUGUGAUCUACUGUAUAAAUGUUGUGAUGUGAUUCGGAGCAAGUGCUCUCGGACUAUAUAGUAGCGCAUAAUCUACUCUAUAGAUGUUGUGAUGUGCUUUGGAGUGUGGGCUCUUAGGCUGUACAAUAGCGUGUGAUCUACAGUAGAGGCAAUUAUUAUAAUUCGAGCAUAAGCUCUUGGCGUUUGGACUGUGGCAUGUGAUUCACAGUUCAUGUUAGGAUAGGAUAGGCCUAGAUAGACUAGGUCACAAUUAUGAUACGUCGGGCACCCACCCAUGGAUUGCACAAUCCCCCAUGUUAUAAUCGGGCUCAGGCAGGACGUGUUGAGUAUGCAUACUGAUGCUGCUCAUACGGUAUUCAGAGUGGUUUUAUGGUCUGAUCUACCGUGAGGUCAUCCACAUAGCUAGGGGUGGCUGAUGUUAUGUUGAUGCCUACUGGACCAGAUGGUCACAUUACUAGAGUAGUGACUACAUAGAAUUCCAUGUUCUAUUCUUAGUACAGGUCAGUUUCAAUCUCAGUUCUACGCGAGUCCAGAUAGCCACUUAGUGUUUAUCACUAACUCUAUUAGAUAUUAUUUUCUCUGGUGUAUAUGUGUGUUCGGUCACAAGAACUGGAGCUGAUGGUGGGGAGAGAGCUAGUCGGAGUUUUGAUAUCACAUGAUAUAUGUUUUGAUGUAUUUUCAGUACUAGAGUUGCAUCUCCUUUUAUCAUGUUGUGAUUUGGGAUCCGAGAUCCUUGUUGGUCAAUUUUAUCAAAGUAUUUCGGUUCAACUUUUAAUGCUUGUUUUUGCUCAUUUAUUAGUAGUAGAGAGUAGAGGUUGGUUCAGCUUGGAACCCGAUAAGAUUUCUUGAUUGAACCAGUGGUUCGACCAAAACUCUUAGGGUGGGGUUUCAGAGAAAAUGUGAUAGUGAAAUAUACAUUUCCCAAAAAAAUUCAUCUUCCCACCGAUAAGUUUUGGCUAUUUUCGUAUUUUCAUAAUUACCUUUAUUUUAGAUUGUAUGAUUCAAUUCAUUACCAAUUGUCAGAUUAUGUUGUGACAUCAUCAUUUCUAUCAAACGAACAACAUUGGCUCCAUUUAUAGGAUUUUAUCUAUUGCAUAUAAGACUAUUGGAUCCAUUUUGAUUUGUAAAAGUGGGUCCUACUUCCAUCUCAUUUUGUUUUGAAAUUUUGCAUACUUCACUUUGAAAGGCUUCUCAUUAAUGCAAUUCAAAAACAUUUGCAAAAGUGGACUUACAUGAAUAAAAUGAUCAUUUCUUAUAUAUUAUUUUAUUAGCAAAUAAUGAUAUGAGAAGGCCCAAUCCAUUGGGUCUUGAUCAGAAUGGCACAACCUAUUAAAAAUACCUAUUUUGGCAUAACAUAAUUAUAAUUUUACAAAAUAAAAUAUUUAAUUGACUUUUUAAAACUCAAUACAAAAAACUAAAAAAAUAUCAAAGUUCAUCAUAUUCUUCUCCCACCACCAUCCUAUCUCCACUAUCUUCUUAUCAUCCCCAUCAUCCAUUGCUAAACCCAACAAUUACUUUCUCUAAAUCUAUCACUUACCAAAUCCAAAAUCAUAUUCAUUUGUACACACAACCAAGUAUGCAAAUUUUAGAUAUGAUUUGUGUUGGUUUUUUAGAUCUGAUUUUGUCGAUCUCGAAGGUGAAGAUGAUUGACGACGGGGAAGGGGACUCUAAUACCCAAAUAUGCUACUGGAGAAUAAUCCAUCUUUCCAGACUAUUGCAAUUCAUACCGCUCCUUGAAUACUUACAGAGAAAGACGGCGCAUCGAGCUCAAAAGGAGAGGGUAGCGAGCAAUCGAAGGAGAGUAGAAAAAGCCGUUGCAAGCAAAAGAGAAAUCGACCACCAGAUCUCCUAGGAUUCCUCAUCUGAGGAAGCCAUCAAGAGAUUUUUUCCUAUAAGUCAGUUCAGCUACUAAAGCUACAAGUGGUGAUGAUGAAUAAGCUUCCAUAAGUGGUUCGCUGGGUAUCUCUACUUUGACCUCCUUCAUGGGAGCUCCGUCGUCGCCGCUGGCGACCCUAAAAAAGAACAUGCAUUUAAACGCGUUUACACACUAAACUAAAAAGGAGAAUGAAAGACUAUAAUUGGAAUUUCAACAACAAGAGAAAGUUAACUUCUUUUUUCUAAUCCACCGUCGGGAGGAGCAGCAGCAAGCUUCGCCCGUCUUCUUCCCUUUUGGGAUUUUUUUGAAUUAAUUAAGAAUUUUAUUAAUUAGAAGUUUAAAAUUAUAUGAUGUGGAGCCUAUAUUGAAGUCAAGUGGGAGGUACGUCAGGGGUGUUAAGUUUGACUGUUAAGUUGAUGGUCAAAUUUCAAAUAUGUGCCACAAUAAGUAUUUCUAAUAGGUUAUGCCAUUCUGGGUUUAGACCCAAUAGGUUGGGCCUCCUUAGAUCAUUAUUCAUUUUAUUAACUACAUAUAUGUUAUAAAAAUGUAUAAGUGACAAGUGGGUCUCAAAUGAUUAAAAAAUAUAAAUGAAAAAAUGGGCCACAAGUGAGAUUAUCACUUUGACUUGGAACGAGUACAAAUUUGCACUUAAAAUGAUCCUUUCCCAUCAAUAAUAUUCUCAUUUAAAUUUAAAAAUUGCCACAUAGGCUCCAUGUUACUUAACAAGUAGGGAAAAUCUCAGUGAUAAGAUGCUAUAAUAACAAAUAAUCUUGAGGCCAAAUCCAAUAACUGAGCAUGCCUUCUACAUGUCGGACUCCACCAUAUAAACACGGCCCACGUUAUAAUUGAUUCAUUAAAAAAAAGAAACAAUUUGAUGAAUUGAUGAAAGAAGCGAAAGGCAAAAGAUGGAAAUUGUCGUUUCUCUUCCUAAAACUAGGGUUUUGUUUCUCUCACUAAAAUUAGGGUAUCUCUUCGUCAUGAAGACUUCCUACACCCCCAUCGCCAUCAUGCUCAAGCACAAACCUACUCCUAUCAUCAACAAACCCAUCCCACCUACCGAUGUUGUCAUCAAAACAAGACCGACCCUUACUGCACCCAUGGCCUCCCUAUCGUUGAAGGAGAGUCAUGGCUCGGAGGACCUGACCGGAAUGACAUGGCUGACGAUUGGAUACCAGAGCUGCAGCAAUCUGGAAAGCCCCACAAAGAUUCUCCGCCGACAAAGACCAGCAGGUCAACACUAAGGAGAGGCGGUGUUCCUCCGAUCUUCGAGCUACAGGGGAGCGAGACGACUCUACCCCAUACACCAUAGUGACAUCGCCGGUGUGGACAUCCGAUCAUUCCAUUCAAAGCUCAUGAAGAUCGGCUACACUUGUGUUUGGCUUUCUUUAUUUUUGUUUAGUACUCUCUUUUUAGACAUUUGGUUGAUUUUCAGUCGUACGUUGCACUUCAUUUGUUUCCUUCCUUGAGUCGGGGUAUAGUUUUGUUAAUUUUUUUGUUUAUUUCGUUGCAUCUAAAACCGUUGAUGGUCGAAGAGAUUAAAACUGUAAAUAAAAUAUUCAAUUACCUACUUUCCCCUUACAUCUUUUCUAAAAAACAACUCUCAAUUGCAUUUCUCAUGGUCAAUGUUAUAUCACGCCUCCCUCUAUAAAGAAAUUAUAUUUUGUAAAAAAAAAAAGCGAAAGGCAAAAGAUAUCGCGAGACCUAGUUCUAUAUAAACCCAUUCCAUUCGCAGGUUACGAGCGGCCGUCAUCGCUGUCACAGGGCCAGAUAUGGGAAGCGCUAAAGCUGGCAAACCCUCAAAGAAGUCUCUCAGAAACCCUAAUCCGCUUCGCAUUACCCAUAGGAAGAUUACGAAGCACAAACGGCAAGACAUUGCUGUUGAUACAGUUCCCACCGCCCUGAAGUAGAAACACAACCUCAUAUCGGAGAAGAGGAGCCCCUUCCUUCAGCUUCCCAGCAACUCAGCUUUUUCCUCAGCAAGUUCCAGUCAGCUAAUGGUCUUCAAGGUUAGUCUCUACCGCUGGAGCUCCACAAUAUUGUAUCCCAUGACAUCUCUAUUUGGUUGCUGGACAGAGGGAUUAUUAACAAUUUGUGUAUUGUAUUUGCAGAAACAUCCUUUAUUCAGUUAUUUUGAGAGCUGCCUCAGGAUGUUGAGGGCCUAGGCCAGCAUUUGAAGACUGCUUUCGGAAAGUCAUGGAAAGAAGAACGCUGUGAUCGAAAGCUCGUGGAUAGGUAAACUGAACCAGAGAGUCCUGCUGCUCUUUUCAUUUCUACAUCUGCAUUGAGAGCAAUAGAACUUUUAAGGUAUAGAUUCUCUCAGUUCUUGUUAAUGAUCUUUGUUUUGCUCGAUUUAAUCAGGGUUUGGGCUUGAUUCAAUCUUCUUCUUUUAGGGGUGUGCGUUCACUGAGCGUUCACUGACGAAAGAAUGCCAUGCUGCAAAGCUCUUCUCUAAGCACAUGAAGGUUGAAGAACAUGUGAUAUCCUUUCCCUUUUGUCACUUGUUGUUCCUAUUACAUCGUUAAACAAAAUACUAUCUCUUUAUGUUUCGAGGUGUUGUCAUUUGUUUUGGAUAUCAUUCAGUUCCUUUUAUUAUUACUGCUGCUCGAGUUACGAACAUCUGAGGAAAUAGCAAUGCUUAGGAUGUUAUUGUCCACUUCACUGUCUCGAGACACCGACAUUGUCUUUAGUUAUUAUUUAUGGGUCCAACAAGUUAUGACUUGAACCAUGGUCACAUGGAACAAAAUUAAUUUAUAAAUUCGGACUUCUGUUUCAUCAGUGACAUUUUCACUCUUCGUCAUCAUAUACAUUUGGUGUUUGUUUGUUUUUGGUAAAAGGAUUUGAUAUUACCAGUUAUAAAGAUCAAAGGGCAGUAGCAGUGCAGGAUAAGCUUUUUUCACAUCAGUCUGCUUCUAGUUCAGUAUCUUAGUUUCAAUGAUUUAUGGCUGGAAGCAUGGAGCAGUAUGGAAUUUUUGCAAACAAUUGUUGGAUUAGGAAUUUCAUACUUCUUUUCACUGCAUUUUGAUGUUGGGAUAUGAUGAGUUACACGGAUCAAAUGCUCUAGCAGUGCUGAAUAUGUUUUUUGCACGUCAGUCUGAUCCCAACUUACCGUAUUUUUACUGCCCCUACCUUUAAAUGCAUGUCCGAGUUCUAACAAUAGAUGACUUGAGACAUGGAGCCUAUGAAUGGGGGUUCUCUGUUUGAUUUUAUGACAUUUUACAAUAAUUGUCACAAAUUUUUUUGACAUUGGAUAUGAUGAUGAGUUAGAAUCAAAGGCACUAGAGAUGCUGAAUAUGAUUUUUUGCACGUCAGUCUGAUCCCAGCCUUUCGAUUUCUGAUUACUGGAAUUUAAAAUUUUACUUUGUUUUCGUCAUUUUGACAUUGGGAUAUGAUGAUGAGAUGUAGAUCAAAGGCAUUAGCGGUGCUGAAUGUUUAUUUUGCACGUCAGUCUGAUCCCAGCUCACUGUUCCGAGAUUGUGCUGCCUUCUUGCAUUUCCUAGUUAAAAAAAUGUACUCCUUGGACAUGGAUCUAAACGAACUUCAAAAUAUGAAUGAUUAAGAUUUCGUGAUCAGUGUCAUUCAUAGUUUAUGAUCACUAAUUUAAAUCUCGUGGCAUAUCUUGCAGGGUGUUUAUAGCCAAUUAGAUGCCACACUCACUGAAAGCUUAACUUACGAUUUAGGUUCUGGUUGUGUAUCCCCCCCCCUGUCCACCGCCUUUAACCUUGUACUUCUAAGCAAUUGAUUGUAUUUCCUGAAUAAUGGCUACAUAUUUCGUAAUUGUUCAUGCUCUGCUGAUUAUAUUUUUGCACGUCUCUGUUCCUAAUAAAACUGCACACUAUUUUACGAAAAAAGACGUGCACGCUAAUAUCGUACACCAAUGUAAUAUAACACUAUUAACAACAAAAAGUUCUUAGUACGGGUUCAAUGUCAUCAUGCAACAUCCAUGAUGCCGUUCCUUAGUCUCUCUACGUGACUCUGUGUUGCAUUUGGUAAACUAUUUCUUAAACUUCUGGCUCCGUUUACUGCAGGUCACUUUCUUCAAGAAUCGUGUCAAUAUUGCCAGCGGCACACCAAACAGGUUAGUCACCAGUCAUUUCAUCUCGAUAUUGAUGUUACAAUGGGUCGUUUGGAUGAGGUAUUUGAAAGUGGUAUUUUGGCUCAAGUAACUCAAACUAAAGUUAUAACUGAGUUAUUUGGGCCAAAACACUUCGUUUUCCAUCCGAAAUAAAAGUCGUUAUAUUUCAUAACUGUGAUAUUUGAAAUAAUUAUGGAUGUGAUAUUUGAAAUAACUCAAUUUAAAACCAUAACUCAAAAUGAUAGCUAAACGAAUAAUUCUUAUCCCCCAAAUUCUUACAACUGAUCCAAACGAUUAAUGUUUACUUGCUCAUCCUUUUCGUUCUAGCUGAAUAUUUGCAUUUCCGAAAUAAUGCGCCCCACAUGAGUUCGGUAUACAUUGGUGAUUGCUUUUGCAAGUUUUCCGUGCAUGAAUUGUUGUGGUAUUCAUCAGAAAAUUACCAAUAGGAAAUAGUUAAGAGGUCGUAGAAAAUGCAUCGGGAGUGUCAUUUUAUAUUGUAGGGGCAAAAAUUGAUUUUGAUGAAUUUGAACUUUCUUGACUAGAUUCUUGAUAAAAAAAACUAUCUUGACUAGGUUGAAGAAGUUGAUAGAUAUAAAAGCAAUGGGGCUCUCGCGGUUUUAAAGUUAUCGUGCUAGAUGUCCACCAUGAUGUAAAGGGUUAUUCCUUGCUCACACUUCCACAAGGGGGAGAUAUAGAGAGAAUGUCCGGUCUCUUUUCAACACAGCGAGGAGCAUAGUCGAUUUUGUCAUGUGAAGAGUUGCUGUUGUACAAGUGUUAGUUUGUUAUUUUGACAGGACACUUUUUCAAUUAUUCAAAACUUAUAUUCUAGCUAAGCUAAGGGUAAAUAUCCAUUUUGUAAUUUCACUUGUUGCUGCUUCUACCAAGAGACAGCACACAAGGAAUUAUACUCAUCGGCUUCCUGGCCGCAAUUGAGUUAAAUCUUCUUUUCGGCCCCUAGCGUUUAAAAUAAAAUAAAUCUUUCACCGGCUACCUUCAAAAUCCUCUGUUUAUCUUUCCUUUGAUCUUAUCAAAUUUUUAUAGUGACAAAGUUUGUGAAAUUACUUAAUAAAAAAAAGAAAAAAUUAUUAAACAAUUGCUAAUAUUUAGGCCCGACAUUCGAUAUAGCACAUGUUUUUUAUAAUAUUUUUUUUUGCCCAAAUUUCAAAUUAUGUUAAUUCCUUUAAGUUAAAAUUAACGGAUUGGUGACAAAUGCUGACAAGGCAAACAAUGUGUCUGAUGUGGAUGGAUGAAAAGAAGUCAAUCGGAAAUAAAUACACAGUCAACAUACAGUUAAAAAAUUUUAUAACAAAAACCACCCACAUUCCUUAUCCUCUUCGUCGACCAGCCUUUUAUCACCCACCUGUCACCUCCCUUCUAAAUUAAUUUUCAUCAGAUGGGGAGAAAGAGUGGAAGAAGAAGAAGAAGAAAGAAAGAUGGAGCAAGGUGCAUUUGAUUUGAAUCCCGACAAUGUCGACAACAAUCUUGUAUCUAAAUUCUUUGUCGAUUUGAAUUUCGAUGAUGCCAACAACAACCUCAUUCUUGAACUCUCCGUCGAUUUGAAUCCCGACGAUCCCAUCAACAACACCAUUCCUGAACUCUUCGACAAUUUGAAUCCCGACGAUGCUGAUAACAACCUCAUACCUGAAUUCUCCGUUGAUUGAAUCUCAAUGAUGCCAACAACGACUCUCUAUCGUUGUCGAUGAAAUGCCCAAGCUUGUGGAGAGAUGGAUACAGGGAGUAGUAGCAGGUACAUGUCCAAAUAUGGAUGUUGAGAAAUCCUCCUCGGCUGUCGAUUUCGAAUGGUCCCCACGUUUCAAAUUGAUUUUAGUGUUCUUGCUGGGAGUAGGUUUGCACGCGGCUGAGAUUGGGUUUAUCUGUUUGUUGCAAAUGAAUGAAUUGAAUUGGUUGGUUUUUUAUUGGGGGUGGGUUUUGCAAGCAAGUUGAGUUGUUUGAUUGGUUUGAAGUUUUUUUUGUCUUGAUUGGGUUUUGUAAAAAAUGCUAGCAGAAUACUGACAAUGGAGGAGAAGGUGGAGGAAGGAAAAAGAAGGUGGAGGAGAUGAAUGAUUUUUUUGGUAGCUGAGUUAUUAUUAUUUAAUGAAAGGAGGUAAAUAAAAUUUACCUAACUAAGCUGACGUGACCAGUGAUUGUUAUGUGGCGUCGGACAUGGUAUCUUGAUGAUUUUCUUCUUACGGCGUUUCGUGUUUGGUUAACUAUAACGGUCAACGACAAAGUCAACUGAUUUUCGUUAGUGUGAUUUGAAUUUUGUCAGAAAAAAAUGUAUUUCGGAAAACAUGUGCCAGAUCAUUUGUCGGGUUAAAACAUUGCCAAUUGUGUUAGCUAAUUUUUCCUAAAAUAAGUUAGUGACAUUUUAUCAAGUCGAUCUACACUACAGGAAACUAGAUGUUUAACAACAUCAUUUUUUCUUGUUGACGACAACCAUUUCCUGUUGUUAUGUAUCAUAACGGCGGCUUUGAUUGCGCUAUUAAGAUUGCCAAUGCAAAGAGAUCCUACCAGCGAAAUAUUGGCCGCGGUUAAGUGGGGAAGCGUAACAGCGAAUAGCUGGCCGCUGUUAGGUUGCAUCCUAAUAGCGAAAUAUGACCGAUGUUAGACGAAAUUCUAAUAGUGGCAUUGUGUCCGUUGUAAGGAUUUCGCCUAACAGCAACUACAUAUCCUCAUAGUUUUCUUAUUAUUUUAUUUUUUUCGUUUGGCUAUUUUCCAUAUAUAUCCAACUUGUUCAAGUAAUUUUUUCGAUAGGUAGAUAGAAAUACAAAUUUGGGAAACACUUUGCUAAAUAUAAAACUAGUCAUUUUGAUUAAAUAUUUGAUUGUUAGGACACAUACUAAUUCCUUGGCUUAAACUACACCAUCCUUCUAAAGUAACUACUUGAUUCAUAGUUGUUCAUCCAACAUGUACAAUCCACUAAACAUAGACUACUCCUCUUGGUCGUAAUCAAGCUCAUCGUCCCUCUCAUUUGUUUCCAUCAUAGUGCUCGUUCACAUUUGUUUGCAUCAAAUGGCUGCCAUCAUACAUUUGGAUUUAGAACAUCUGCCUCAUCUCCUCCAAAUCAUGAGAUAAGCCAACUUGAGAGUUGGCAAGAUGAGCUAUACACCUACAAUACACCAAAUAAAAGUUAGUUUUUUUAUCCAAAAAAAUUUGCAUGACCAAUUCGAAUUCACGGUUUAACUUAUACUCUUUGAUCUACAAAAUGAACAAACGAUACUAGAUUUGGAAGGACAAGUUUCGACAGCUACAAUGAAUCAAGGAAACCUUUUACAUCUACAUUAUCAAAACAUAAUUGCAGAAUUAAAAGUAUAAACCAUGAGUAAGGUUGAAUGAUAAAAUUUUCACUAUUUAGAGGUGUCGGUUAAAAUGUGCAAAUUGGAUAAUAAAUUUGCAUGGGAAGGAUGAUUAUGUAGAUUACGUAAUAAACUAACAAAUACAUAUAUACUUAUGAUUUGAAUGGGACUUGUAAGUUAAAAUUGGAGGCGCCCCUCUUAAUUUGUACCUAUUGUAUGUUCACUAACCACCCAUAAUAAAAACAAGCAAGAAAAAUUGGAUUUGGUGGAUCACUCGAUGAAGAAACAAGAUUCGAAACUAGCCCUCAUAACUUGAUUAGGUGAAGUUUCUACCUAUAACAGUCCAACUUAGUGGUAGAAUUAAUUUAGGAUUAAUGCUGAAAAAUACAAAUACUUAUUCAUUUUGCUUUCACUCUAAAUCCUAAAUGGCGCACCACUGUUCCUGACUUCUCUUUUUUGUUCUUCGAACGUAUACGAUAUGCCCUCGCCAUAGCAUCCUCCUUGCUAACCCCAUGUUAGUAUUUGGUUCCUUCAUAAACUGUUUGACUUCAACCUAUAUUCAAUCUCAAAAUCUUAAAUAUAUUAGAAUUGCAUCUUAUCAACAAAAGGUCAAAACACAAUAAAAUUAUAUGCAACUUACAUAAAAGUCUCAAGUAACAUAUGUUUCAUCUUCUCUUUCAUAACACUUGAAAAAGAACUCAGAUCUUCUUACUUCUUUUCCUUUCGCUUUCUUCUACAUUAUACGUUCUACAAUCAAUACAAAUUAACUUCUCAUGACUUUUGGAACAUAAUAUAAAGACGAUUGAUGAGAUGCUUACUUACCAUCUCUUCACGAAUUAUAUUGAAAGGUUUUGACCCUUUCGUAUGAUAGAUGUCUUGAUUAGAACGAUACCUUGUUUCUUUGCAGAUGCAGUCUAUAAAACUGCUAGUAAUUGACAAAUGACAAUAAUAAAUAUCAUUAUAUCAAAUAUAAGUACAAAUGUAAAACUUACUAGAGUUGGCUUCCCCUCCUAUAUCUGCAAAACAUAUCCCACUCACGUUCAUCAAUAUUUGGUGGUUUCCUGUCUAAGUUGAGCUGAAGACCUUGAGUAGCAUCGAUAUUUGGUGGUUUCCUAUCACGUUCAUCGAUACUAAUCAAUUUUCUUUGGAUAUGACUAAUGUAAUGAAGAAGAUAGAAGAGAUUAAAUCUAAAACCCUUAUGAUUACCCUGCAUUCAUAAAGACUGCAAUGCAAUAUGUACAGAGAGGCGUGGACACAUAGCAAAGUCCUUACAAUUUUGACAAUUACCAUCCAAUACAAUUUUGUAAGCUACAGCUAACAUUCAUGAGCUAAUAAGUUUUGUCAGGUCGGUUACGAAAGAAAACACACUUAACUUCAUAAACAAUAAUAAAUUAUGAAAACCCCCAAAUCAAAGUUAGGGCUCAUCUAAAUCAUUAACAAAUCAUACAAACUGAUUUCAAUCUCAAAAUUAAACUUAGACCCAGCACUAUAAAUAAGAUGUCUAACCUAAAGCUAGAACAAAACACUUCCAAUUCACUAAACGGAAAACAUUUCAAAGAUCUAGAUUUUACUAACCUUUCAAUUUUCUUGCUAACACAAGAUGACUGAUUGAGAUGAUGGACAGGAACCAAAAUGAGCCGCAGCUGGAAGGCCGGAGCAAGCGACGCCGGCACGAAGAAGAAAAACGCCAGCGAACGGCCGUUGGUGAAGAUACUAUCUGGCUGUGUCCUUUGUUCAAUUUGGGGAAAGUUGGGUUUUUACGUGGUGUUGGGGGGUUAUAUGUAUUUGGAGUUUCGUUUAUAUUAAUAUAAUGAAGAAUUAAGUCUCAUUUUGUUUGGGGCUUUAAAUUAAUAACCCAACGUCGGCUUGAUUCUCUACAUAGCCGCUGAUAGGAUUACUCUUAGCAGCUGCCAUCUAAAUAAGAGCCACUGUUAAGUUGUUGUAUUCCAUCAUAUUUUUUAAUUAUUAUCCUAACAUCGGCCAAUAUUAAUCAGGGCCGAUGUUAGGUAGUAAUAACGUAUCAGUAGCCUUCCAUUUAUUGUUAGGAUAUUGACCUAACAUUGAGACCAUGUCCGUUGUUAAAUUUUGUAUGUUAAAAUAUCCUAACUGCAGGUCUAUGUGGCUACAGUUAAAUUGGCAAUAUUAGGUAGUCAGUUUCUUGUAAUGCUACCUUGUUUAUCAUAGAAAAUUUGUUAUGACAAACGUGAUUGUUGUUGUUACAUAACAACACUCUAAUUUUCCAUCUAUUUUUAAUUUUAAAAAUUUGACAGUCUUAAUUUGUUGAAUAUUUUUAAUCUUUUUUACAUUUUUAUCUCUCAUAAAUAUGUCCUAAUUUUUAGUUAAAGAAUCCUCAUUCAAUUUCUAUUUCUAUUUCUAUUUUUUUACCUAUAUUUAAUUAAGUUAAUAACUUAAUAUUUCCUUAAUUGCUUUUUACAGGUUGUCAACGGAGUUCUGGUACUCCCAACAAGUGAGAAGAACGAUCAGAUUAGUAACAGAGCACAAACAAAGGUACAAAAUAAAUUACCAUAUCACAGUCUCAGGUAUAUAACUCCAUACAAUAGCACAUUCAUGGGUACAUAACUAGACAAAAAUUAAUCAAAAAUUGAUACUUCAAUACACGAGGUAUAAAAUGCAGUACCAUAUCACAAACCCCUUUUUUUUUUUUUUUUUUUUUUUUUUUUUUUUUUUUUUUUUUUUUUUUUUUUUUUUUUUUUUUUUUUUUUUUUUUUUUUUUUUUUUUUUUUUUUUUUUUUUUUUUUUUUUUUUUUUUUUUUUUUUUUUUUUUUUUUUUUUUUUUUUUUUUUUUUUUUUUUUUUUUUUUUUUUUUUUUUUUUAUUUUUUUUCUUUUUUUUUUAUUGUCUGUUUUUUUCUUUUAUCCUGUUUUUCUUCCUUUUCAAGAUCUUGAAAAGAGAGAGAAAAUGAGAGAGAGAGAAUGAGAAAGAGAAAACGAGGGAAAGAGAAUGAGAGCAAGAGAGAGAGAGAGGAGGAGAAAUUUUUGGAGUUUUUUUAUUUUUAGUGGCUUUGAUAUUGAAAAUACUAUAUAAAGAAUUUUAGAUGAAAUCAGUCAGUUGAUACAAUUAUUGUUGUUAUGUGCUAUUAUCGUAUGAUAAGCGGGUGGGGCUUUUCUUGUUUUCGUAAACAUCAAGAUUUUAUUGGUUGGGUCUAUGAUUCCAGCCUACAUGAUACUCAAAAGGGCCCUGGUUCAUCUGGAAAUGAAAAGUGCUUUAUGAACGUUUGGAUUGGUGCUUCCUUGACUCGGUUUGGUAACUUCAAUUUCUACCCACCUAUAUCGUGUUAAGUCGGAUCACCGACCUAUUUUCAUGGUUGCGACCAAGCUCAAGAAGUCAAAUCUUCCUCAUACCUUUCGCUUUAUGGCUUCAUGGUUGUCACAUGUUGAGUUUAAGCCUUUUUUUGUCGGAAUGGAAUCGGUCUUUUACCUUUAUUCAUCAGAUGUCCAUUCGAGCUACCAAACUGAAAAAAUGAAAUAAGGAAAUUUUUGGCAACAUCCAAACGAAUAGAAGGAGCUUAUCUUUAAACUUGCUGAUGUUUAAGCUCUCGCAGCUCCUCUACUCAUUCAAGACACCACAAUGGACAUUGCAAGUGACCGGAAUACUCAUUUUUUUCACGUAUCCACCUUCCGUAGGCGUGCUCGGAACCACAUUAUUAAGUGAAGGAUGACUGUGGGGUGUGUAUUCAUUAGGUUUGGGAGUCGGUUAAUUUGGUUAAUAACCAUCGGUUAAUGGUCGGGAAGCGCUUUGAUGAUUGAAAUUAAUUAACCAAAUUAACCGACCGAGCAAAAGCCACGGUUAAUCUUACCGACCGAUAACCGACCAAUCAGUUAAAUGAUCGAUUAUUAACAGACUGACUCUCGGUUAACCGUUGUAACCGGCUCUGACCAAUUUAACUCUCUUCUCAUAUUGCAACAAGAUUCUAGGCUCUGGCUCUAGAUCCGUCGUCGAUUCAAGCCUUGGAGACCAUAGCUUCUCUUCUGGAAACAAUCCGGUGCUCUACAACUUGAUCCUUCGGGACUGGAAGCUUUCCGAGACGGCGUUGUUGCGGAUCAGUAAGGAGAGGAGGAAGCUUCAAGCCUAUGGUGUUGCAGAUCGAAGAAUUGAGAGAGUGGAGGAGGAGAGGAUUGGCCGUGGCGACGAAGGAAGCAUGUGGUGUUGCAGAUCGAAGAAUCGAGAGAGUGGAGGAGGAGAGGAGCGCUUGCGGUGACUCGUCGUGGUCGUCGUCGUGACUGCCGGCGAGAUGCUGAAAUUGAAUCGCUUGGAUUGAUAGAGUUGUCGAGAUGGAUUGAUGGAGUUGUCGAGAUGGAUUGAUGGAGAUGGCUCGGAGUUAACCUAAUUUCAGAAUGAGAGGUUGUGAUGGAGUGGGAGGCUGGGAGGGGAGGGAGCGAUUCUGCGAUUGUGGUGAGCAAAGCUUGAUUUCCUAAUUGGGGACCUUGGUUUUUUUAAUUACCGGUUAACGUUGGUUAACUCGAGUUAACCAACGAUUUUACCCUGCUCCAACAAGUACUCCCAACUGUUCCCCGACCGACCCCUACCUCGGUUAAACCGACACUCUAACCGAGUCGAUCAGUUCAUCUGUUUAACCUAUUAACCGAGACUGAUGGCCCACCCUUAGUAUUCAUCCAGCUUGUUGCUGCAAUUAGUGUCGUAUUGAUAUGGUUGAGAGAGGAUAAAAUAUGCUUGAUUUCAAGUUCUCCAACUUGAAAGGUUUAGCUGUUAAAAAUGUAGAGGUCAUGACUGAGUACUGAUUUCCAGCAAGGAGAAGUUGGAUAUUUGCUUGCGAUAAAAAAGAAUUUGGACAGUCUAUCUUAGGCACAAAAUCUAACGGAUGAGAUGGCAACUUUACUUCAGGGGCCUAUUGGUCAUUUUAAAAUUUUCUUGUUUUUCAGUUUAUUUUUCCAUUCUGUUUAAUAUUGGUUCAAGUAAAAUGAUUUCUUGUAAAUUGGGUCUAUUGAGUAACGUGGGUGGGUAGACUUUAUUGCUCCCAUCGAGCUUGACGUGAUAUUUUCUUCUUCGUUUCUUUAACAUGCAUAAAUUGUAUAUAAUACGAAAGGUUGGAAAUAUAUGUGAAGCUCGAGGUUUAUUAUAUAUGUUUCGAGGUUUAUUAUAUAUGUUGAACCUUUUUGCCAAUUGGUUAUUUUUAUCAUGUAGUGCCUUAUCAAGUAAAGGGAAUGGUUGUUUUUAUCUACUGUCACUAGCCAACUUUCUUUCUCAUGUGAUCAAUUAUUUGAUCACGCAUGAAUGACUACAGUACACAAAAGAUAGAAAUAUUAUAAAAACAAAAAACAAAUAUUAAAAAAAAAUACCUAAAAAGCAGGUACAUAACAACAAAAACAAUAACCGUAAAUAUCAAGUACAUGAAAGCGGAUGCUCAAAAUAAGCACGCACACAUUAAAAACUUUGGUACAUACAAGGCAAGAAAAUCGAGAACAUAUUGGAACUCGAGUACCGGAAUUGGUACGGUAUUAAGUACAACGUGAAGAAAUAUCAAGUACAUUAAAAAGCGAGUAUAUAACAAUAGAAAUAAGUACACGAAAACAACUCAGAGAAAUGAUAAUUUGAUUGCCAAAAUUGAGUAUGAUAAAGUAAAAUGCAAGCACGUAGUACAUGAAACAAAUAUGAGUAAGAGUACAUAAAUUUUUUAGUACAAUACAAGACAAAAACUCAAAUACAUAUAAAAACUGGACACUAAAAAAAAUAAUUAAUUAUUCACAAUUUUAAAUAAUAAUAGUCACGAUUUUUAUCAUGAUUAACAGAAGCUAGUCACGAAAAUAAAUCCGUAACUAACCUAACCGAUGCUAGAUGAACUUGUCACGAAUCUGAAUAACCUGUAACUAAGUUGUCACCGAAAUUUUCCGUGACCAACUCAUCACGGAAGAAACCGUGAACAUAUGUGUUUUUGUUUUUGUUUUUUAAAUUAGUGGCACGGAGCCAUAUGCUGUGAUAAUUGAUUUAUUAAUAAAUUAAUCCCACAUCUCCGUGGCUACUAUAUCACCAGAAUUUCCAGAUUCCGGCAACCACAAUUUCCAGAAUCCGGCAAUAAGAUAGAGUUGAUAAUUGCUUUUUUAUUAGAGUAAAAUGUUCUACAUCUAUACAUUAUGAUACCCAUAUCAAAAUUCCAGAAUCCCAAAAUUGAACAUAACGUCAACGAAAGGCACCAUGCAACAAUGGUGACACUAAGGGUUACAACAACCAGCAAAACCGAAACACAGACUGGAAAUGCUACCAAGAGAAGGAUGAGACUAGAUGAUGAGAUUGAGAUUGAGAGAAGAAAAAUGAUAGUAAGAAAUUUUGUUUUCGAGAGAGAUCAAAUGAAGAUGAGAUCUACUUCUAAUUUAAUAUAAUGGAAAUGGAGAUAUGGUUGUUUAAUGGCAAAGAGAGAAGAAAGGAAUAGCCCAUUAAACGAGGAUAGAGUCUGCAUCAUUUCUUUUUUCGACCUUUUCCCACUAAAAUGCUAAUUUUAAAAUUAUAAAUAAAAGUUGGUCACGGUUCCAACAUUUACCGUGAGUAGUUGGUCGCGGUAUUCAACAAUCCAUGACUAGUUAUGGAUUUUUUUUUAUCUAUAAGUAGUUAGUCAUGGUUUUUAAAGCCGUGAUUAAUAAAUCGUGAUUAAUCGUUGAUUUUUUUUGUAGUGCGAGUAUGAGUAUUGAGUAAAACGUCAUGUACAAAAACAAGUACAUCAAAAGCGAGUACAUAAUUAUCAAAACAAGUACUAAAACGAGAGGAAAAGUACAUAAAAAGCGAGUAUAUAAUAAUAGAAACAAGUGCAGUAAAAAUCAAGUGCAUGAAAGGAAAACGAAACUCAAACUAAACACUAAUACAAAAAAAACUUUAGUACGCAAAUAAGUAAAUACAAGAAAAUUAACAUACACAAACGAAUACAUAAGAGUAUAGUGUUUAAACAAAGCGAUUAUACGGAUCAAUACGAUGUUGAGUACAAAACAACAACUUGAGGCUUUAUCCCUCAUUUUUAGAUGAUUUUGUACUAAGUUCUUAUAUGUAUUAGUUUUUAUUAAUGUAAUCCCUCGUGUACUUUGUCUUUGGAUUUAUUUUUAUGCCAUAUCUAUUUAUUUACGCAUUUGUGUAUACUUAUAUUUUUAGAACUUUAUACUCAAAUCAAUUAAUCAAACAAUAAAACUAUUUUCUCUUUACACGAACCAACAUAAUAACCCAUCACCCCAUACAGGGUUGUGAAGGAGGUGCAGUGACCAGAAUUUUCUAGUUGUUGCUUUUCUAUAGUUUGAUAAGGGUAAGCAUCUUGUUCUAGAAUAUAUGUUGUUAGGUUAUAACAAUGCAUCUAGUUGAGCAUGAUUCUUUGGUCAAGUGUUACUGGGAUUCUUUUUGUUCCACAUCAAUGCUCGGAGGUCGAAGAGGCAACGAGGGUGACGAAGAAAUCGGCAUCACCACGUGAGAGAAGAUGAAGAAGAGGUCAGAGAGUGGAGCCGGUGGAAAAGAUAUACUAGAAGAGGUACUUAAAGUUACUUGUACGACAAAACUGCCCUUAUUCAAUUGGACAACCCCUAGAUUAAAAUUUAAAAAUGAACGGACGCGAUUCGUUUGCGGCCAGCAAACACAUAAUAUCAUGGCUGCCUAUCCGGACUCGUCAUAACUGGCGUCAACAUUACGUAGUGUUGUCAAAAAUUAAAAAGGGGAAUAUAUAAUAAUAAUAAUAACAGACGUAAUCUUGUGUAUAUAAUGAUAUUAAAACGUUUUUCAAUCGACAAAGCCAAGUCUGCGGGAGGAACAGCUAAUGGACGAACAGCCUAAGCAUAAGCCGCCUUCUUCGUAUUCUUCAGAUUCUCUGAAUCUCUACCCUUUUUUUUUGUUACGCGGAUUCCCUUCCCUCGUCUGCAAACAAAAAGCUCUUCGUUGACUUUUUAGCAGGCUUUUUUAAAAAACCUUAAUUGAAAAAAUUUGUACAUGGUUGUUGCCUUUGUUGGCGUCAGCAUGACCCAAUGCUGUUGUCAUGUUCAUGAUUGCUCCAACUCACCUGGCUGCGCAUCUGCCUUCUGACCUGACCUGCCCUCCUCCUUUUUUUUAAAUUAUGUUUCCCCAAAAUUAAAUUUAAAUCGUUACAAAAUUGGUCUCUCCUUCUCCUAUAUAUAACGUGGAAGAGCUCCUGCCAAAAAAGUCAUUCAAACUCAAAGCAGAUAAAUUAUCAAAAUAAAAAAGAAAACCCCAGUGCUCUGCCUGCCGUUAAGAAAUUAGUUUAUUGGGUUUGUUGUGUUUAUGAAAGCUGUGUUCCAGAGACUGAUAUCGUCAAGCACCCAGAUUGGCUGUAGGAAGAAAGUUGCAUCUUUUCCAUUAAUCAGAAGCGCUAAUAUGUCUGAAUCCUCUGCCUUUGAUUCUCCGAGAUUGGUGACCAAGAAGGUCCUUGCUAAGCUUCAGCGUGAAGGGGAUGGUGCUUCUGUCAGGAGAAGCAUUGGAAGGUAUAAUAUAAUAUAUCAUGGAUGGAUGGAUGGAUAUACAAUUUUCUUCUUGUCAAAAUUGAAUUAACUGUUUUCGUUUCUGUGGUGAAAUUGAAUGAUUGAAUGUUGAAUUAUUUUGGUUCAGGAGUGAGCUCAGGUCUCUGGACCCUUUCCUCAUGUUGGAUGAGUUUUCAGGUCUGCUUUGCUUAAUUACUUGAAACCAAAUUCCUUGAUAUUUUCUAGAAUUAGGAUGAUGAUGGAUGAUGGAUGGUAUUUAAUUUGUUGUUGCAAAUUGCAAUGCAUGAAGUCUCAGCUCCUGCUGGAUUUCCUGAUCAUCCACACAGAGGUUUUGAGACUGUUACAUACAUGCUGGAGGUACAGACAGUACUGGAGUUAAUUAUUUAUUAUGAAUUGAAGGCUGUUUUUUGUCCUUGGUAGUCUAUUUAUUGAUGUCUGUGAAAUUCGUGGGUGGCACUGGCAGGGAUCAUUCACUCAUCAAGAUUUUUCUGGGCAUAGAGGGACUAUUCAUGCCGGGGAUGUUCAAGUAAAAUAAUUCACUCAAUUACAAUACUACGACGUUUACUUAAUUAGCUAGCUUUACUUGAUCAAAGUCAAAAACUCUUUCUUUUUUUAAAGUAAACAACAACAACAACUUGUGUGUUUUCCUGUUGGGCAGUGGAUGACAGCAGGUAGAGGGAUAGUCCAUUCAGAAAUGCCUGCAGGAGAAGGAGUCCAGAGAGGCCUUCAGCUUUGGAUAAACCUCUCUUCUCAACAUAAAAUGUAUGUUUUUAUUUCCUUUUUUGUUUGUACUUUCCAACUUCACCAUUCCAACAGUUUGUAAUAUGGAACCAACAGGAUUGAGCCAAGGUAUCAGGAACUUCUGAGGCAGGACAUCAAAAGAGCAGAGAAAGACGGGGUUGAAGUCCGAAUCAUAGCAGGGGAAUCAAUGGAAAUCGAGUCUCCAGUUUAUACAAGGACCCCAACAAUGUACCUUGAUUUCACACUGCAACCAAGGUCCCAAAUGCACCAGCCCAUUCCAGAAUUAUGGAACGCAUUCAUUUACGUCAUUGAAGGUGAGGGAGUGUUUGGGAUCCCAAACUCCUCACCAGUUGAAGCACAUCAUACACUCGUUCUAGGCCCUGGUGAAGGAAUGAGCGCCUGGAACAACUCCUCUUCCAAACCCUUGAGGUUUGUCUUGAUUGCAGGCCAGCCACUUAACCAACCAGUGGUGCAGCAUGGUCCUUUUGUCAUGAACACAGAAUCUGAAAUCCACCAAGCAAUUGAAGAUUACCACUACUCCAAAAAUGGGUUUGAAAUGGCGCAGUAUUGGAGUUCCCAAUAGGGAACAAGUAAGUGCUUGGAUCACUCAAAACCAAAUCUCCACAUUCCCUCUCAACUUUGAAGAAGAAAAGAGUAAAGAAUAAAAAUACACAUCCACAAACACUAAAGGCCACACGCAUAUGUGAGUGAUACUCAUUUGUGUUCCAUCAUGUAUUAAUUUAGCUUUUAUCCUCUUCCAACCUUUUACUAUUCCAAAUCAAAAGGUUGAUUAUUGCAUUGUCACACAAAACAAUGAUAAUAAAAAUACUCAAUUCAUAUAAUCCUUAGAAUUAAUUCUUUUCAUAACUAUAGUAGAUGUUUGAACAAGUGAGAACAAAAUAUAAGCUUAAUCUUAAUAGUAAUAUCAACGGAUAAUAGCACUGUGUGUCACUUAAUUAUUACCCAUGUCGCACAUAAACUACUUAACUUUCUACAUUGCACAUAAAGCCACUUAACUUUGCUUAUGCUUGCAACAUCCAAAUUUUCAUUCAAUUUAUGGAUAGACUGAUCGAAUUGAUGAGUUCUUAUUCGAGAUCUUCUGUAUGAAUAACCUCCAACACAUUAAAGAGAACAAUAAUUUAUAAGAACUGACAGAAUAACUUAUUACUUGUUUACAGAAAAGAAUGAUAAAAUAAAAAGGCAAGAAUAGAUUAUAAUCAUGCCUUGGACACUGCUUUCGAAAAAAUAUUUCCCGAAUUUAGAACACCAAUACAACUAAAGGUUAAUCACAAUAUUCACUCAAACUCUAGUGUAGGGCUUGAAUGUUGGAACUUGGAAACUUAUGCUAUUUUGAUUCCGAUUUUGAGAGUGAAAACAAAGUUUUCUGCCCAUAUUAAUCAACUAGGAUUUCCCUUUUUAAAGAGAACGCAUCCACUAACCAACAUCAAAUCCAGAUUCUCCUUUCUGAUGAUCAUCAAUGAUAAGCAGAUAUGGGGAAGGUGGAGUUGAGCUCCCGAUUUCUAGGAAGCCAACCAAAUACUUCUGUUAAGCAUAAGUCUUGAGUAUAUGCGGUAUGUAACUGAUCAUUACUGUUACUUCAAGUGGUUAGAUAAUGGUUACAUCAUCUUGCUGUUGUCCGUUGAUGACAUGUUGAUAGCAAGUUCUAUUGUAAAAGAAGUAAACAAGUUGAAGAAACAGUUAUCUAACAGUUUACUAUUAAGAAUAUAGGAGACGCUAAACAGAUUUUGAGUAUGUGCAUUGAUCAUGAUAGGCAAGUAGGAAAGUUUUAUCUUUCGCAAGUUGAAUAUAUCAAGAAAGUCUUGAAGAGGUUCAAAAUGCAGGAUGCAAAACUAGUAAAGAUUCCUUUGGGUGGCUAUUUCAAGCUAUUUGAGAAGGAUAUGCCUAAUAAUGAUCCAGAACGUGCCCAAAUGCACGAAACACCAUACAUUUUUGUAAUUGAUAGCUUGAUGUAUGGAAUGGUGUGCACAAUACCAGAAAUUGCACAUGUAGUGGGAGUUGUCAAUAGAUUCAUGGGAAAUCGGGGGGAAGCGAUUAAGUACUCCUGAGAUAGUUGAAGAUUACUACUAAAAGGGUCUUGGGCUUUGAGGGCAAAGUAAUGUAGUUAGAAGGAUUUGUCAUCAAGUGACCUUGAUAGAAGAAGAUGUACAACAUGGUAUAUUUUUACUCUUUGAGGUACCAUGGUUUCUUGGGCUUUUAAGUUGCACUGUCUAACACUCAAGCUAAAUAUGUUGCGGUAACGAAGGCCAGCAAAGAGAUGGUAUGGUUUUAGAAUUUCUUUGGUGAAUUGGGGAAGAAGAAAGAGGAUAGCAUAUUGUACAUUAGUCUUAUACACUUGCAAAAAAUUCAGCAUUUCAUUCAAAAUCGAAGCUCAUAUUGAGUUGAUGUAUCACUUUAUGGGUUGAUCUCUUGGAAAGGAAGAUCUUACGGCUUAUGAAGAUUCUAGGAAGUGAGAAUCCUAUGGAUAUGCCGACUAAGGUUGUAAAGUUGGAGAAGUUGACACUGUGUAUGACUUUAACUGGUUUUGUAACUGAAGUUGAAGGUCAGAUGCUGCUUGUAGUAGGAAGACGUUGAACAUGGAGAACCAAUGAGAGGAGUAUGUCUUCAGGUGGGAGAUUGUUGGGUUAUGGUGCCUAAGAAACUGAAGGCUUGGUCCAGUUAGUUUGUUUAGUUAGAUAAAAAUUAAGAUUAAUCUUGUCUAUUCUAUAUAGGAUUAGAAUUAAUAUGGUAGCUCCCUAUAAAUAAUCUAUAUUCAUAUCAUUGUAAUCUGUAUCACAACAAUAGUAGUCGAAAUCCUAACUUGGUUUGUAAAAAAAGAAAUUCUAGCGUGGUAGCGCCCUAGACAUACUCUUCUCGUGAAGAGGAACUAGGUUCUUAAUUUUUCAGUUUAUGAUUGCGUUUCAUUUUUUACAGGAACGACCAGAUCCAGCUCAGAAACUUCCUCAAGAUGGCGACGUUGAAGAAGCUCUGUCUCGCUAACGCCUAACAAUGGCUUCUCUAGACUGAUUCAGACUGUCCUCACCGCUGGAAAAGGAGAUUAGAUAGAAAUCCAUCUUUUAUUCCUCUUCAUUGUUUUUAUGACAAUUUCUUCUUUUCUUUUAUAAUAGAGAACUAUUUAUCACUUUUGUUGGACAUUUCUUGUUUGUUUCCCUCAAGAACUAAUAAUUUUGGUCAAUGGGUGACCACUGAUGAUGUUGAUUCUAUAAGCUUUAGUAUUUAGUCAAAUUCUUGAGUUUUUUUCAACUAGAAAAAAAAAGAAGAGAGGUUACAGUUUCAAUUAUUAAGUUUGAAGAAUUAAAGAAAAAAAACUAGACUACAGAUAUGAAAAGGUAAUUCUGAUAAUUUUUAUUGAUGAAUUUUUUUUUUGUAAUGAGUAAGAUAAUUUUUUAGGUUUUAUAAAUGGGUUUUUGGUUAAAAAUCUCAUUUAGAUAGAGUUUUUGAUGGGUAAUUAUGAAAUUUGACAUAAAGGGUACAUGAUUAAAAAGGUGGGAAAGGAAGAUGCGAAAAGAAGGUAAGAAGGAAUCAAUUCAUGGCAAAAAAGAAAAAUAAAUAAGAGGGAAGAAAGAAGACAUAUAUUGAUGGGAGGCGGAGGUGGGAUAGGGAGGUGAGAGAAAGAUGUAACAACAAAGAAGGGUUUAGCGAAAGGUGNNNNNNNNNNNNNNNNNNNNNNNNNNNNNNNNNNNNNNNNNNNNNNNNNNNNNNNNNNNNNNNNNNNNNNNNNNNNNNNNNNNNNNNNNNNNNNNNNNNNNNNNNNNNNNNNNNNNNNNNNNNNNNNNNNNNNNNNNNNNNNNNNNNNNNNNNNNNNNNNNNNNNNNNNNNNNNNNNNNNNNNNNNNNNNNNNNNNNNNNNNNNNNNNNNNNNNNNNNNNNNNNNNNNNNNNNNNNNNNNNNNNNNNNNNNNNNNNNNNNNNNNNNNNNNNNNNNNNNNNNNNNNNNNNNNNNNNNNNNNNNNNNNNNNNNNNNNNNNNNNNNNNNNNNNNNNNNNNNNNNNNNNNNNNNNNNNNNNNNNNNNNNNNNNNNNNNNNNNNNNNNNNNNNNNNNNNNNNNNNNNNNNNNNNNNNNNNNNNNNNNNNNNNNNNNNNNNNNNNNNNNNNNNNNNNNNNNNNNNNNNNNNNNNNNNNNNNNNNNNNNNNNNNNNNNNNNNNNNNNNNNNNNNNNNNNNNNNNNNNNNNNNNNNNNNNNNNNNNNNNNNNNNNNNNNNNNNNNNNNNNNNNNNNNNNNNNNNNNNNNNNNNNNNNNNNNNNNNNNNNNNNNNNNNNNNNNNNNNNNNNNNNNNNNNNNNNNNNNNNNNNNNNNNNNNNNNNNNNNNNNNNNNNNNNNNNNNNNNNNNNNNNNNNNNNNNNNNNNNNNNNNNNNNNNNNNNNNNNNNNNNNNNNNNNNNNNNNNNNNNNNNNNNNNNNNNNNNNNNNNNNNNNNNNNNNNNNNNNNNNNNNNNNNNNNNNNNNNNNNNNNNNNNNNNAUGGGUUUGUGGUUAAAAAUCUCAUUUAGAUAGAGUUUUUGAUGGGUAAUUAUGAAAUUUGACAUAAAGGGUACAUGAUUAAAAAGGUGGGAAAGGAAGAUGCGAAAAGAAGGUAAGAAGGAAUCAAUUCAUGGCAAAAAAGAAAAAUAAAUAAGAGGGAAGAAAGAAGACAUAUAUUGAUGGGAGGCGGAGGUGGGAUAGGGAGGUGAGAGAAAGAUGUAACAACAAAGAAGGGUUUAGCGAAAGGUGAUAUAAACAAAAUUAAUUUUGUAAGAAAAUAUUUUUUUUAAUGCCAUGUCAACUAGUUUGUAACUUUUAGUGUCCAUGUCAACAAACAAAAUUUUAUAAAGUUACCAAAAUUCAAAAUUUGUGUUACGAAAAGUAUUUCUAAUAGAUUGUGCCAUUUUCGGUAAAGGCUUAAUAGGUUGUGCAUUUAAGAAAAAAAAUAUUAUUGUGUUUCUACAAUUAACAUCAAUUAUCACCAAACCAUUAAAUACUAAAAACCAAUUAAGAUAUAGUCAUGUUACAAAAAAUGACUCUUGUUAUGAUUUUUUUGUUUAUGCAAUGAUAGGAUGAGAUUAAAAGGUUAAUUUCUUUUUCGACAAAACUUGUAAAAUAUUAUUAAACUCAAUUAGAUAUAAUAUCAUCUACAGUUGGUCAAUCAAAAAAAUUGAGGGUCUAUCCACCGAAACAAUCGUGGAGUUCCAAUGAGUCUGAUUAUACGCCAUAACAUGGGUAAGCUUGUUAACUUAUCUCCGGCCAUGACGCCAAUUACCACAAUCAAACUUUGCCAAAAGGCAACGAAUUAUGGACUAAAAUCCAUGUUCGGUAUGAUGAUCUUCCACAUGAUGCAAAGUCUCAACCAUGAUCAAGCUAUCACUUUCAAGAACCACAUUAGGAUACCUAUGUUGCAAGGCCAAUUGUUAGCAAAAUCUUGCCUCGACCGCCUCAGUUAAAGUAGGCUCAUAGCAACCCUACAAUUUCAACAUAUCCGCCAUUAAGUAAUGCCGAACGCCAUCCCAGAUAACCACCCCAAUACCCAUUCUGGAUCCUGUAAUGAUAGUUGCGUUUAAGGUAGUGAAACUGGUGAGUCAACAUGGGAUCGAAAAGGGACCUAGAAUCGUAAUCGUAAAAUCAAAUCGCAAAAUCAUAAAAUUUCACGGUUCUUCAAUAAUACUAAAUAUUCAGAAAUUCACCUUAGCAUAAAGACGUAAGUUCAUUAUCCAAUCUAAAAUUAAAAAUAAAAUCUCAAAUUCACCUUAAUAGGUUCUUCAGUUGCACUACUUUGAGCUGAUUUUCGAGUCUAGGAGACCGGAGACAAAAUCUGUGAACAAAAUUGUACAAUCUUACAACAAAAAACAAAAUACCUUCGAACAAAGAACCUAAACACCAAAAAUCCAAAACUAAUCUAACAAAAACAGAAUUAGAGAAAGGAAUGGGAUGAUGAGCAAAAUCAUGGAAUGGGAUGAUGAAGAAUCAUGGAAUCAAGGAAACAGAGAUACCUUCGAGCCGUAGGAGUGGCUGGAGCGAUGGGGACGACCAAAGAGGCUAUGACGAGGACCAUUGACUCCUGGUUCUGGUCUUCUAGACUUCUGGGGGACGACCGACGGGGGAGACGACAAGAGAGAAGACUGAGGAUCGAGCAGAGAUCGAACGAGCAAUCGACGACUUGCACAAUUUUUUUCAGAAGAUAAAUGAAUUUAAGGUUCGAUUUUUUGCCCAAAAUUGAACUCGGAUUUCCGUUUCGGUUCGAACCGAAGCAUAAAAACCAGCGGUCAGCACAGAGUAGUGGACUCGUGAAUCGUUGUAAACUCGUUCGAUUCCACGAUUUUCACGAUUUUGCGAGCGAUUUCAUGCCAUUAUAAGCCAUUUUGAUUGCGCGUGAAAUCUGACUCGACGGACCUAACAAAACUCGUAAAAUCGUCGAUUCCACUUCCUUCGUUGUGUAUGUACUGAUAUGGGGUUCCUGGUUUAGUGGUUGAACCGGGGUUGGACCGUUUUUAAACCGGGUCGGCCAUUUUAAAUAUUACAUAAAGUUAAAUCGGACCGAAAAAAUAUUGGAUUGAACGAAAUCAAACUGACAGUACAAAUAGUCAAAUUUUGAGAUUUAACCUUUGAAAAUUGAACAAUUUUAAAAAAUUUAUGUACAUUAUGAUGUUAUUCUUUUUUAAGUUUAUGUAAUAUAAUGAUAUUAUCUAUAGUUGAAGUCUUCCACACAUAUAUAUCUAGAAUGCUAAAGAAACCCUAAUGGAUCUUUCAAUCUUUCUUUAAUUGGGCUCCAACUACUCAAUACCCUCUCUCACACUUUUUUUCUCUAUAGAGAAACUCUCUCCCUUUUUCAUCAGAUUUUUUUCUCCUUGUAAUCUAAUCUUAUUUUUCUAAUAUUUUCAUUCUAUUUCUUCCCUAUUUGUCUCUUUUACUUUUUUCUUUUUGGAAGGUUAUUAGAAAAAGAGGACCACUAAAUAAUUCCGUCGACGUCCAGCAAUAGGGUUUUCCAAUUUUUUCACAGAUGGAUCCAUGUUUCCAAAGUUCUUUUGUUUUUUUUUCUGAUCUGAUAGUUGGUUCUUUAACUAGUUGAAUUAUCUGGUUUUCCGGGGAAAUCGGGUCAAUCCUCAGUUUUGUUCAUUCUCCUCAACCGCUAACUCAGUAUUGAUCAAAUGAUCGGUUCACAGUCGGACCGGCCGGGCUGAUAUGGUUUUGCUAACAUUGAUCUUAGUAGAGCCGACUAGAGGCCAUUCCAACCGAGCCACAAUGGCCUCAUACGAAAAACUCCUAGUUACCCUGAGUUCUUGAUAAUAAAUAAGAAUUGGAGUGCUUGUGCUAUGAUAUCACACUCCAAUUAGUGAAACUCAUUAAGCAUACACACAUUCCUUUCUUUCCAUCAGAAUCACAUAAGCAUUACCCAUCUUUCCAACUCCAAAUUCAAAACUUUGCGGUUGCUAAGUGAGAACCAAUCGCAUCAGUCAUUAGAAUCAUCAAAAUCAACCAGUGAUCAUGUUUAGAGUUACCUCAAAUCCGCCAAGUCCAUUGGCAAUCUCGGAAAUAGUGAAUUUGCAGGCAACCUGCAAAAUGGGCAUAUAUCACCAUGUCGAGGAUUAUGCUUAUACAUAUUAUACCUGUAGGUAAAAUUUACGAUGAAAUUUUCAUAAGAACUGCUCACCUUCGACGGAAUCUACAAUGACCAAGAACAAUUCCAAACAUCCGAGUUGCAAUUUGGAUUAAGACCCACUAAAAGAAAACCGUGUCCAUUAUUACGGAUAAAACCGGCCGUUGUCACUGAUAUUUCCAUGUCCCUGCCUCGUUGUCGCGGGAAAAUCAUCCGCGACAACGGGCGCCUUCAUAAUGAGGGGUGNNNNNNNNNNNNNNNNNNNNNNNNNNNNNNNNNNNNNNNNNNNNNNNNNNNNNNNNNNNNNNNNNNNNNNNNACGGCCGCCUUCAUAAUGAGGGUUGUGGGGACUAAACUAUCCGCGAAAAAUAGGGUUGGCGCGAACCCGUUAUGACCGGUUUGGUUCAAAUAGUUAGGUUGAAAGGCAUUUUAACAAGUUUAUCCGCAAAAACGGCAAGAGAUAUCCGCGACAAUGGCUAACAACAUUUGUUUUGCCGUCAUAACGGUUCCCCUAACGACGUUGAGUUUAUCCACGGCCAAGGUUGACAUUGUUAGUUUCUCCAUCCUACCCGUAAUGGUUGUUGUGCCAAAUACUAGGCCAUAAUAUCUGCGACAACAGCUCAAGUACUGCCUAAAAUUUUGUUAUUUUUGCUUGUUUCGUCCACUGUGGGCGCCUAAAAUAAAAGUUUAUAUAUGCACUAUUCUACACAUAACACAAUAUAUACCAAUAUCAUUAGCAUAACGAUAACACAUAUGAUCAUCCAAGAGUUAAUACUAUAACAUAAUCCAUAGAUCUACUCCAACAUAAUUCCUUGAUUUUUUACCUAACUAAAGUCAUUAGUUCACUAGACUACAUCACUAUCAACCUAGAUAUAACUACACUAGAGACUCGUCAUCCUCAUCCUCGUCAUUAUGACCAAGAUCCUUAUUAGCUCAAGUAUACAAAAGAAGAUAUAUAAAAUUGAAAUUAGGUUAAAACACAUAAAAUUAAGUAACAUGAACUUUAUAACAUAUAAAGAUUACUAAUAAUUUACCCGCCACAUCGUAGUCGUAGUUCUGUUGGAUGUGGUUAUAUUAUAUUAACCGCUACAAUCGUCGUUACGGAUCAUUAUCCGUGUCCGACGAUGACCUAACCGUGACACCCGUUAUCGCGGAUAUUAUCCCCCAUAACUAAUCUACGUCAGACAUCAAAUUUUGUUGUAGUGGCCAAGCUAUUCUUUAAAGCUAGUCAGCCAGUUUUAAUACCCCUAUUUUUUCGAAUAAACAGCUUUACUACUUGAAAUCCAAAUAAGCAUUCCGAUUCUUGAACAUCGCAAUGAAUAAUUUGCACGAUAGAAGUUGAUAUAGUUGACCAAAAACAGCUUUCAAUAAGAGCAGUAUUCUACUGAUAAGUCGUUCGAUUAACCAACUCACGAACUGUAGCAUCAACAUCAAACCUCAUCGGCGUAGAGGUCACAAAAUUACCGGGUACUAACGGAAGCCAUCCGUCUCCCCAAAUUCUAACGGACAUACAAUUUCCCACCCACCACCCAAGGCCACUCCAUACAAAACAUUGAGCACCAAAAAGGCUAUGCCAUAUAAAGCUAAACCCAACUCAGCUUUAAAGACAUAAUAGAAUUUUUAAAAUACUUAGCUUUCAUAAUUCUUACAAUAAGGGAAGAUGCUCUUGAGUGUAAGUUCCAAAGAUGUUUAGCAAGUAAAGUAAUGUUAAAGCCUAAAAAAUCACAUAAUCCCAUCCUAGCUUCGGAUUUCAAACUCAAUAGAUAUUCUUGACAAAAUGAGGGAUGAGCACUGGGUCGGGUCACCCAUCAAAACCCACCCGCCUAUAAUCACUCUCUACCACUACUACCCUUUUCCCCAUCACCAUAAAACUUUGCAUGCUUGUUUGUGUGUUUUUGUAGUUUUUUUGUGUGUUUUAUGUCGCUUUUCAUCGUUUGAGUAGAGAGAGAGAGGGAGAGAGAGAGGGAGAGAGAGAGAGGGAGAGAGAGUAUUUCAAGGGUUGCAUGUCAUACCAAUGAUUAAGAAUGCAUGAUAGAAGGUCUCGAUUCAAAUUAGGGUUCGGUCGGUGUCUGAUCGAAGGACGAAUGAUGCUUGCAUUAUUUUAUUUUUACUGAAAAAUUGGGCUUCUGGAGCAGCCUUUAGAUCAAUCUCAAGGUGUGUGGCUUUGCAUAGUGUGUGUCGUUUCCUUAAGUUUCUCUCGAUAGAAAAUCGAGUUUAUGGCGUGUGAUCCCACAUGCCAUGUGACUGAUUUUUGACAAAACGAACCGACCAAAGAACAACCAAAAACCCAACCGGCUCAAACCGUAAUGAACCAGAUUGAUUUUCAAACCGAUUUUCAACCAAAUCAAACUGAGUUUGACCAGACGCAUUGACCCUUCGUUGACCGGCCGUUGCCCCCGUUGACCGGUCACCAUGGAAGAAAAAACAUGGCAGUUUAGUAGUAUUUUGGGCAUAACAUUUUGCUCGGGAGUCUGAUUGACACAAGGUCAGUGACGUUGGAAACUUGUUCAGUUGCCUACAACUUUGAUGUCAUGAUGUGGCCUAAAUCCAUGCAGUUUGUGCUCAUUUUUCUUGGUUUGGAUUGAUGGAAUUUGAGAAAGUUUGAAUUGUGGUCUUGUUUGGUUUGAUGAUUUGGUGCGAUCGUGAUCAAUUUCUUGAUAGUAUUAUAGUGAUAUGUUCAUUGCAAAUGCUAACGUUUGGGAUGGUUGUCCAAAAUGGAUAAUUCUAGCUUUGCAAUGUGAAGAUUGCUGGAUGUUGAGACGUGAUCACUUUGUCACUCUUGUAUCGAUGGCAUGUUGUUGAUUUUCAUGAGAACUUGGAAUGGCAUCAUGAUGCUUCAAAGUGUGGUUGAACGUAGGUUGUUACUAGGCCUGAGAGUCGGUUAAUUUGGUUACUAACCAUCUGCUUAAUGUUCGGGGAAAAUGAUUUGGAGAUUAAAGUUGGUUAAUCGGUUUAACUGACCGACCAUAUGUAAUGGUUAAAAAGCCGACCAAUAACUGAUAAAUCGGUUAAAUAACCAAUUAUUAACCAACAGAUUAGUCGGUUAAUCCUAUGAACUGACUUUGAUUGAUUGACCGACUAUACCGACUUAACCUAACAAGAUCUGAAUCUCCAUGCUCAUCUCUGCCAUCGAGUGAGCCACGUUCUGCUCAUGAUAACCGUUCGUCCAAGCAUUCAUACUCUACUAAGAAAGCUUGCCAUGGCCGCCACUCUGAACACCGGUCAAAGAACUGAAUACUUGUUCCAAGAUCCGAACUUCCAGAACCGUCUCCAAUCCAUCUUCCCAAUUGUAGUUUGGACAAAGUUUCCUCAUCUGAAUUUUUACUCAAUCACACAACUACAACCUACACGACAACCAUAAUCAAUAGAGUGGAGGGGGAUAGGAUGAAACAGAGGACUGGUUGAAAUUAUAUGGGCCUAUGUUGCAUCCUCAAUAGCUCGUCGUCGCCAAGCCUCACUGAGCCGUCCCCGAGAGAGGAAGAGACGUAGAGUCUAGAGAUCGUGCUUUACUAGUGCUCAACACUCAUGGAGCCGUCACUGAGAGAGGAACAUAAUCCCUAAUGAAUCGUGAAAUCGAGAAUGAACGGGGAUAAGUGAAUAUGUUUGUGUGUGUGUGAGUUUGACCUAAAAAUGGGGGGAUUGGGAAUACGACGUAGACAUUUGGGUUCAGACUUGGGGUUCUUUUGACCGAUUAAUGUUGGUUAACACAAGUUAACUGACGGGUUUUAACCGAUUCACCGUUUAACUGAAGUCAGUUUUUCUCUUUGACCGUCCCCCAACCAACCUGUAGCUCGAUUAAACCUUCCUCUAACUUAUUCGGUCGGUUAAUCAAUUUUAAACGAUUAACCGAAACUGAAUUCCUACCCUUAGUUGUUACUAGGUGCUUUUGUUGCUCCCAAUUGAUGAUUUGUGAUUAUUUCCAUGCUCAUUUAAUUUGCUUCCAUUGCUCAUAUUUUGUCCUACCAUUACCCUUGAUGACUCAUUGGUUACUCACUGUUUUGGUAAAUGGUUCAAAGAAGCAUGAGGCAUAUUACUAGUCCAUUUGUUCCUGUAAUGAUAUAUCUUUGACCUCACCUUUUGGUAUAACUUGAAUGAUGCAUACGUUGUCACUUCAUGCUUUGCAUACACUCUUUAUGCUCGUUCUUGUUCAUUGGACUUGGUCAACAUUUGUGAGGAUUUCUUUGUGGCAAUUGAUGAUAAAUGAGUUAAGGUGGUCCCAUAGCUUUUGCUUACCCUUGUCUUACUAAUUUAUGAAUUAUAGGAUGCUCUUGUUUAGGAUUGCUAGUUAGUCUUGCUUGAGAAUAACUAGUUAUCUUCUUCAUUGGUUUUGCCUUUCUUUUACAUCUUGCCUAUGCCAUGUCUACUUAUGAGCUAUUUAUUGCCUAUCGUUGCCUAAUUCGAUUGGAUGCUUAUUGAGGUGGUUCCUUAGUGGCCGUAGGAUUAUGGGUUGACACCUCUACAUGCUUGAUGUGUAUGAUUAUUCUCCAUUUCGAAAUUUUCAAUGAUACUUUAAAGUCAAAUUUGAAUGCUCUUUACAAAUGUGUCAAUUUUGGCACAGUUUUCAAGGAUUCAUCAUUUAGUGUUUAUAAUUCAUUUUCGUUUUAAAUUUUCGUUUCCCACAUUUACUUUUCAUGUUUUGUUGCUUUUAUUGUUUUAAAUUUUAUUAUUUUUAUUUUAAUAGGCUUACUUUCCUUGUAUAUCCCCAAUUGUAACUUGGUAUCCGUAUUCUCAACUAAAUCAACAAAUGACACCAAAUAACUUAAAAUUGAGAACUAUAAGAGCUCAAAAGAAGGAGAUUUAGCAGAGUCUCUUAUAGGUUUCAAAAAAGCGAGGAAGGAUCUUCAAGUGGAGAGGACCCUUUCUCCUCCCUAACUCCAAUGGCGAACAAAACUCUAGCAUUAGACCACCUAAAGUCAGACGAUAAGCCAUGCAUUCAUCUCGUGGACUUUAUCUUCUAUUGCGACACCAUCAAGCUACACGGUGUUUCUGUUGAGGUUCACAUCGUGUUCCCCUUGAGUUUCAGCAACCAUCCACUCCAAGCACCUUAAAUCAUCCGUCUUAGUUUCUGCUUGUCCCCAAACACCGUACAUCGCAUGUACUUCGUGAUUUUUCCAUUCUUUGAGGCAUUUAGCUCCUCCUUGUACAUCAUACAGUUAUGAAUAAUGCCUCGACGUUGUUGUGUGCCUGAAAUUGAUAAAAAACACAACGCAACAACAUCAAAUGGACCCCAAACGGGUAUGAGACACUAAAUCGAGAUAGAAGUUACAAAUGCACAAAACAUCAUGUCGUGAAUGUUUCGAUCCGCGACACCGAUGGCUUGAAAUAUUUCAGAGUCGCCACCAAUCUGUUGAAGCGGAUUGGACGCUGUCGACAUAACCCAGGUCCUUUUGGACGUGAGUUAGAACAGGUCUGCGGAACAGAGAUCCUGGAUUCGAGAGGCGGUUACGUGCAGGGAAGGAUUAGCACCCCCAUAGCGCCCGUCAAACCGGUACUACUAAAUUUGAUAAGUUAUGUUUUAUUUUCUUAGUUUAGUGGUUUAAUUAUGCUUUAGUUUGGACGCAUAAGGUUAUGUAAAUUUUUUAGAGAAUAUUUUUAUUCAAUUGUAAGUCUUUAUGAGUUCCCACUCUUGUGGAAAUUUUUUUUUAUGUUGAUAAAUAUUUUGAGUUGAACAUUCUUAAUUUAAUUGUUUGGAUUUACGAAUUCCCAUUCUUGUGGAAAUUUUGUUUUACGCUGGUGAAUAUUUUUAAGUUGGUUAUUUUUAAUUUAUAUGUUUGGACUCAAGUCUUACGACUGCCUACGUACCUAAUUCUUUGGGAUCAAAGAUCAUGUAGUUCGUUAUGGAAAAGUUGAUUUGAGGAUUUUUUGUAAUUUUUACUAUUAUAAAAACCACGUUAUCAUGCUCAUUUUUUAUUUGAAAGACAUUUAUUUGGUUAUUUCAAAGUUGGAACUUUAUUUGCCCACUUAUGAUUAAAUGAUAAUUCUACAAAAUUCGAAACUCUUGUCACGGAUACGAAAUUCAUAUAACAUUGCUAUAAUAUCUUUAAAGGAUUAUUAUUAAGGAAAUUUCACAUUUUUUGCCAAUCGAAAAAUUAAUUGGUUUAUAUCAGUUAACUUAAUUUGACAUAAUUAAAAAUGCAUUACAAGACGGUUAACGAACUUACAUUUAAAUAAAUAUGUCACAAGUAUUUUUGGUGAUUUGACAAUUCUAUUGUGGUUAUGUUAAUGUUAAUUAAAAUGAUACGUUGAUUUGAAUAAUUGUAAAGUUUUGAGUUUUUAAGUUUACAACUUUAAGGUAUAAAUAUCAAAUAGGAUUAAAGAAGGUAUGACGUUUAUUCUGUUAUUCUUCCACACUUAUUUCACUUUUAUUCCACUCUUAAUAUGGCCUUAAUGAUAUAUGAAUAUAAUUGAAUCGACUAAAGGCUUGGCCUUUCUAAAUUAAUUGUGCCCAAGCUCGAGCUCGGCCCAACCGAACGAUGAGCCGAACCGGCGGGUAAGAGGAGGGCAGCCCGCGUGCCAAACUGGUCGAACCGGUUAUCCACGGUUCGAUCAGAAAACUCAAAAAGAUGAAAUUGCCCCUAGCGUUCCGUGCGCUGAAGAAGGGUGGCAGGGGAAAUUUUGUAACUUCACCUUAAACCUAAUCGGCCUUAUAAAAGGGCCUCUUAAAUCGAGAAAUGACUCAUUUGCAACUUCCCACUCUCUCUUUAUCAUCCCUCUUUCUAAACCGCCGCCCUUCUCCCCCCCCCCCCCCCCCCCCCCCCCACCCACCUUUAUCACGGAGUGUGCUGUUUUUUUCUAGUUCCUUUCUCUUCUUCUCAGCCGCCCUUUUUUGCCUCCUCUUACCUCUCAGGACCCCUCUUUCUACCUCCGUUUUUUCGAUUUUUCCAGAUUUGGACUUGCAUGUCAUCGGAGGAUACUCCGGUGAGUCCUCCGGCAAAAUGCAAGUCUCGAUCUGUAGAUCUAAUGUUUUAUUUUGGUAUUAAACAAUUUUGGUUAUUUGAGGGUGGUACCGACGGGGGUGGCGGGGAGGUAGAGAAAUGGAAAAAAGAGAAAGUUAGGUAAGUAAGAUUUCUUCCCUAUUCCUUUUGAUUAAUGUCUGGUUAAUUGCUAACGAAGCUAACUACCGGUUUCUUUGAUGACUUUUUUUAUGUCUUUGAAAAUGGGCAUAGUCGACAUGUUUUGGAAAAUGAGAGGAAAAGGAGAAGAUUGCUUUUAGGAGGUAAGACAGCUAAUUUUGAACCCAUUCUAAUUUUUCUAGGUAGAAGUAACAAUUCUAUUUGUUGAUAAGUUGCAUAAGAAACUAGGUUUGUUUUGUUACUGAAGUUGUAGUAGUAGUCUAGGUGUUUUAAAAAGUUUUGUUUGAAAAACUUUAUUUUUUUUACUAUUGUUUAAAUUUUUUUAGCAACAUUGUUUAUU
rnacentral:lncRNA from 1 species